rnacentral:lncRNA from 1 species
UAGACAAUUCAAGGAUUCAAAGGACUUGUAACAGAACUACAUAGGAAAGGCCCUAACUGAAGAUAAACUAAUGGAAUCAAUAGUACAAUAGAGAGAGAGGUACCAAAGAAGUUGCAGAGUUUCAGUGAACUUGACACUUGAGCAACUCUUAAUGCUUAACCAACGUCGCAAUGAACUCAUCAAUGUUUCUGUUGGAACUUCCACCGUCAACCACUGCCUUUCGAGCCAAAUCUUUCCAUUUCAUGGCAUUCUUUUGUAUUUCUUUUCCUUUGUCCCCCUCCAUGAUUUCAUUUAUACAAUGCUCAACUUCGUCUCGCCUUACAAUGCCUUUCUCAUCAGGUUGAGCUUUUACCCCUAUUUCCCAAACAUCCUUAAUGUACUUGGCAUUGGUGCUUUGGUCAGUCAAUUGUGGCAUUGCCACUAAUGGAACUCCUAAACUCAGAGACUCCAAAGUGGAGUUCCAACCACAAUGUGUAACGAAGCACCCAACAGCCUGAUGAGCCAAAACCUCUAGUUGGGAGCACCAUGAAACCACCAAACCCUUCUCAGCUGUCUCCUCGAUGAACCCUUCGGGGACUUUGGCUGCUUCUGAUUCUCUAACCACCCACAAGAAUUUGCUUUUGCUCCUCUUCAAACCCCAUGCCAGUUCCUGCAUUUGCUCAAGUCCAAGUUGUGCACCACUACCGAAUGAGAUGUAAGCAACAGUAUUCUUUGGAUGCUUGUUUAACCAUUUCAUGCAUGCAUCAUUGCUGGAUUUAAAGAGGUCAACGCCAUAACCUUGGUCGUCUUUAAGUAGGUUAUCCAAGUAGUUAGAUGGUAUAGUUGGUCCAAUGGUCCUCACUGGCCAAAACUUUGCCAACCAAUCCACCACCUACGGAGCAAAAACAAGGAUGCAAGAUAAUUGGCAUCAGUAGGUUUAGUUUUGUGGUUAUAUAGCAAUUGGUUUUGGAACUUAGAUCAUAUAAAAACCAUGAUAAAAAAAUUAAGAUCUCAAAGCACCAAGAAGAAUAUAUAAGCAAAUGAGACAGAUGUAAGAGACCAUGGUUGUAUGCUUGUAUAUAUAUAGCAGGUCUCUAAUGUACUUACUUGUUCUUCCAACUCAUAAAAUGUGUUGCAGAGGACCCAGUCGGCUUUGUCAAUAUUGCAGAACUGACCGAUAACAACUUCAAAGAAAGCUGGAUAAGACCCGAAAUCGGAUAGAAAAGAUGGCAGGUCCAAAGGCUCAAGUGGUGGCAUCCCGGGAAGAGAAAUUUCUGAGUCAGUAAGAGGAAGUUUCAAUACCCCUUUGUUGACAUGAUUGUAAAUGUUGUCAACAGCACAAGACUGAGUAAAGAAAACAGCCCCAACUAUUCCAAACUUCUUGGCAAUGUCCAAAGGCCAAGGCAUGAAUGCAUCAUAAACAAGACAGUCAACUGGGCACCCUGAGACCGAUAGCUUCUCAAUGAGCUCAGCCAAAGUCUGGGACCCUACUUUCCAAAAGCUCUCCAAAUAGGCCUGGAUACUUACACCCUGCGUUUUCCAGCCUUCGUCAAAACCAUCAGAGAUGGUCUCCAGUGAGAUAGUCUCAAGUGCAGUGCAACAUGAUCCUUUGUACAUUGUAUUGUAGAUAUAACGAGUAGUGACCAGUGUGACUUUGACUCCUUUGUGAUCUAAAAGCUUAGAAAAUUGGAGGAGAGGGUUGAUAUGGCCUUGACUAGGAUAGGGAAUGACCAAGCAGUGAGCUUUGUAGUCUCUCUGUUCUUUCUCCAUUUCUCUGGUUUGGUUGUGUAUCUGUGUUGUUUGGAAAGAACUUCAGCUGCAAGGUAAUAUAUACUGCUGAAGUAUGAAGAUGAAGUGCACAAUCAGUCCACGAAACUAGUGGUCAGAUAAGUCUUGUACACCAAGUUCUAUCUAUACGUCUCUUUAGCUGCAAGGUAAUAUAUUCUGCCGGAAGUAACGUUAUAUCAUUGUUUUAGAAGUUGGUAAAAAUACGUGCAAAGGUUUAUGAUUGACAUCGAUUGACCAGUAGUUGGAAGAAUGCUGAUCUAUAGACUGUUGAAGCUGAUCUAUGAUUAUGGCGACCUAAGAUUAGGUACAGAUAGCCAAUAAUUCAGUAUAAUAAAUUUUAUAGCUCAUUUGGGGAAGUCAGAAUGUCAAGUACAAUUUGGCUUUUGCAUCAGUGCCGCGUGAGUGCACUAUAAUGAAUGGAAAUCCUAAAAAGUUUAGCGUCUAGAUGAUCUCCCUCUGCAGAUUAACAUGGAGAACCUGAGGCGUGUCAUUUGGAACCAUUUGCAUGGUCUUUUAUGUCCCAGAAUACUCUAGAGGAGGGGAAGAAUGUUUAAACCCACACAACAUCAGAGAUGGUUCUGAGUGUGCUCCUAUUCCAUCCUGUCAAACUUUAUAACCUGAUGGUUCUGGGGUUUCAAGAAUGUAAACAGGGGAUCCAAUGGCUGGGAAGAAAAUAACAGGGUUGCGAGGAAGGCAAGAACUGGAGUUAAUAUAAGUCGAGUCAGACGAUGUAUGAUGUACUUGGGUAGAAUUUCUCAAUAGAAUAAAAUUUUCUUUUGGUGUUCUACAAUCCACAUGCAAAUGAUUGGUAUCUGAUCAGCCAAAUCAACUUGAACCAUAUUAUGCUGGCAGAAUAGAUAUCAUUGAUAAAUUAAAGCUGGGAGACAUUUGUUGUUACCGAAAGUAACUCUGCUCCUAAUAAUGUAUUAUUUAUGGAAAAUAUUAAAGAUAAUAUGGUGAACGAAGAAACUAGAAGGAGUUCUUCAUCAACUUCAGAAAAUGGUCAAUUUGCAGAGAAUAGUGGAAGGAGCAAGAGCAGAAGACCAAGAGGCCAUGGAAGAAGUAUGAGCAAAUCCAAAACAAGGCUCGUUUAGUUGUCAAAGGAUUCAGCCAGAAAGAAGGAAUCAAUUUUGAUGAGAUUUUCUCACUUGUUGUCAAGAUAACUACGAUUAGAGUCAUUUUGGGCAUGGCUGCAAGCAUGGAUCUUGAGGUGGAGCAAAUGGAUGUGAAGACUGCAUUUCUUCAUGGUGAUUUAGAAAAAGAAAUAUACAUGGAUCAACCAGAAGGCUUUGAAGUCAACAGAAAGGAGCAUAUGGUUUGCAAGUUGAAGAAUAGCUUGUAUGGAUUGAAGCAAGCACCAAGACAGUGGUACAAGAAGUUUGACUCCUUCAUGGGGAGUCAUGGGUACAAGAUAUCGUUAGCUGAUCCGUGUGUGUAUAUUCAACAACCCGUUGGAGGUAAUUUUUUUUCAUCUUACUACUCUAUGUAGAUGAUAUAUUGAUUGUCAGCAAAGAUACUGUUAUGAUUCAGUAGUUAAAAACAGAUUUGUCACAGUCCUUUGAUAUGAAGGAUUUGGGACCACCCAAGCAGAUUUUAGGCAUGGAGAUUGCCUGUGAUCGAGGGAAUAAGAAAUUGUGGUUAUCACAACAAAAAUACAUCGAGAAGGUACUGGAGAGGUUCCACAUGGAGAAAACAAAACUGGUUGCUAUUCCACUUGCCAGUCACAUGAAGCUCAGCUCAAAGCAGAGUCCUACAAGUCAGAAGGAGGAGGAAGAAAUGACAACAAUGCCAUAUGACUCAACAGUAGGGAGCUUGAUGUACACGAUGGUUUGUACGAGACCAGACAUAACACAUGUAGUUGGUAUUGUUAGUAAAUUCUUAUCUAAUCCAGGCAAGGAGCACUGGAAUGCUGUUAAGUGGAUUCUGAGAUACUUGCGAGGAACUUCAAAGAUAAGUCUAUGCUUUGGAAAUGGCAAGUCUGAACUGGUUGGCUAGACAGAUGCAGAUAUGGCCGGAGAUAUUGACACGAGAAAGUCCAUAUCAGGGUACCAAAUUACAUUUUCAGGAGGAGCUGUCUCAUGACAAUCAAAGCUACAAAAAUGUGUUGUUUUAUCAACUACAGAAGCAGAGUAUAUUGUAGCUACAGAAGCAUGCAAAGAAAUUUUGUGGUUGAAGAGAUUCCUACUAGAAUUAGGUCAUUCACAACAAGAGUUUGUCUUGCAUUAUGACAAUCAAAGCGCAAUUCACUUGAGCAAGAAUUUGAGUUUUCACUCGAGGUCAAAGCACAUUGAUGUGAGGUAUCAUUGGAUACGUGAUGUGCUGCAAGCUAAAGAAUUACUAUCAGGACCCACCCCGGAUUUCUUCUUGAAAUCCGCGAUAAACUCUGCGGGACCCACCUCAAGGGAAGUUCUACCAAAAUUUUGGCAUAACCUCCCUUAAAAUGGGCGACCCUACUUGAAAAAUUAACCAACUUCCAACAACACUUCUAAAUAACCAAAUAAUCAACAACUCCUGGAGCCACCCGCUCCCCCAAAUAAACAACCACCACAUCAACAAAAAUAAUAUCUCAACAGCAAAUUCAUAAUUCAACAUCUCAUAAUAAUAACUCCAGAUAAAACUUCAAAUCAUCCCUAGAUCGGGUCAUAAACCCUUAACACACAUCCAAAAUAAAUACAACAUCCCAUGGUUAUCAGAGCAAUCUAACAGAAGGAAACGAGAAAAUACACAAGUAGGUUUAAACAGGUAACCUACGAAUGAAAACUGGAAGUGAUGAAAAAUAUGACUCGCCUCCUACACUUGUCGAACCGAACUCUGCAGAUUGGACAUUUAAAAAUGAAAGGACCAGGGGAGAAGCAUUUAAAAACAUUAGUGUGAGUGGACAAAAAUAAAUAACAAUAAUAUUAACUUAAUUAUGGAGCACUGAAACCAAAGUUUAUGUUUUCCCAAAUUUUCCGUUGAGAAACAUUUAGGCAUGCAACUCUUGAAAUUUUCUAAUAAUAUUUAUGGAUAAAAGUGAAGAACCAAUCCCAUUGGUUCAAAUAAAUCAUAAAAAUGGGGAAGAAAUUUUACCAUAACGAUCGAUGAGCCUCCUAGGUUAGGGUCAAAGCCUCCUAGACUCUAGUAGCGUCCCACGCUAAGCGCUCGACUCACCUAUGGUGAGGACCGCUAAUAAAAACUAGCUAACAAUGAAUAAAACCGAUCGGUGCCUCCUAAGCUAUAGUAGCGUCCCACGCUAAGCGCUCAACUCACCUAUGGUGAAGACCGCUAAUAAAGGCUAGCUAGCAAUAAUAAAUAUAUAUCAACCCUUUUAUGGUGAAGUAAAAUGAUAAAAAGAUAAGGACAACACUUCCCCAAAAUAUAGUAAAUCAAUAGCGCUUAGUACAGUUCCCAGCUGUACUUAGAAAUAUAACAUAAUAAUCAUACAUGCAGUAAUAAUAUAAAUGACUCGACAUGUACCACAUGUCAAAUAAAAUUAGUAAGAGUUCCAGAAAGCAAAUGAAACUCAUUAAUCCAAAGAAUAUAAUAAAACUUCAAUAUGCCUUUGCAAUUAAGAAAACUUUAGCGCAUGCAUGAUGUUAAAAUCAAAAGUCCACUCACUGUGCUCGGCUAUGCCUGUCGAUGAUCCGAGGCUUCCUCCACACAAUCCUCCUCACGCCCUGAACAGUAGAUAAUAUUAAAUCUCAAGAUUAAAUUGAUAAUUUAAUAAAAAUACAAGAAUAAAAGUGAGCCUAUAAUUUCUUCACCCUUGCCCAACUUCACCAUACUUAAUACCUUAAGGCCCAAACUUCACCACAAGUAUCGACAGCCUUAAAAAAAAACUUUCUAAAGUUUAAUCCAUGCUAAUCCAACGACCGGAUUCUAUUCUAUCACCUGCCAAACUCACCAAUCUUUGAAAAAUUCCAAACCUAACCAAAAUUCCUCCAAAAAUUGUAAACUUCACACGGACUCCUCUCAACAUAACAAAUUUAAUAACAUGAAAAACUACCCAAAAGAGGCGGCGCCAUCAUCUCUACUCCUCCUGCAGCGGCGGCCGGCCAGCCCCGACUCUGGCCACCUCCAAUGCUCACCAAAAUUUGAUACAAUCUUCCUCUCAACACGCACAACAACUUUCUUAACUAACACAAAGUCCAAUUUCAAGCCUAACUAGGGUAAUCGAAGCCAAACAGUAAAAAUCCAAAUUUUAAACCCUAGAAUUUCAAAUGCUCGAUUCUCCUUACCUAGAUCGAGAUAGAUUGAAACCUUUUGAGGUUUUGUUGUACAGGAUGAGAGCUUCCAAACGAGACAAGCAACUUCGGCUAUGGUGGCCGGAAAAGGGAGUUCCGACGACGACUCCGCCAUGCACACCCGCACCUUCUUAGCGUGAUUCCUCCCUCACGGCGGCGCAACACAACCAGCCACCUACCUAGACUUGAAGAGGAUAUUCCAAGCUUCAAUUUGAUACCUAGCUCGCCACCUAACUAGGCCGGACGACGAUGAUGAAGUCCAGCGGAGGAGAGAGAGAGAGAGAGAGAGAGAGAGAGAGAGAGAGAGAGAGAGAGAGAGAGAGAGUGAAAUCUGAUUUUCUACCUUACCUCAAAUGGUAAGUUUCCAUUUUUAUACCCCCCGACCAAAAUAGUAACUUUACAUUUUACACAAUAACUUUUGCAUAAGAACUCCGAUUUUAACGUAUAGCAUGUCUACGGAUUUGUAUUAACGUCAUUUACGACUUCAUUAAAAAAAUGUCCUAAAAUAAUUUUUCUACAAAAAGUCAACUCUAGUGUCUUUUAACAAUAAACGGUUACUCAAAACGGUAAAAGGUCAAAAUAACACAAAAGUAAAUAACCGCAAAUUAACUUAAAAACUGAAAAUUAUUGCUAAAGAAGAUUCAUACAGACAAUAACAGUUCGGAUAUGAUGACGAAGUCUCUACGAAAAGAGAAGUUUGACUUCUGCAUAAGUGCGUCAGGAAUGACGCAUCCCUCCAAUUAAGUCGGGAAAGGGAGAUUGAAGGGUCAAAUUUCUCUCCUUAUUUGGAGGAGGAUGUCAUAUAGUUUACUACAUGUGUAAAACCUUUCGGUGAAGCCUCAAAACCCAUUCAAUUAACCAAGAGGUAAGAUGCUACAUGAAUAACAAAGUUGGUGGUGUGUAUAUGUUGAAAUGCAAGAGAGAGCCUAUAUGUAUAGGCUUGUGGAUAGCUGAAAUGUUUGACAAAAAGAAUACAGAUGCAUUGAUGGUGCAUACAAACAUUGAAGGUUGAAUUAAGGAAGAAGUUUGAAUUCUCUUCCUCGUGCAUGGACGUGAAGGAUUUGCAUGGGAAAUGCAUGAAGAAGUUUGCCUAUAUAAAGGCGUGAGCAAUGGUGCAAUUGAUAUACUGGUGAGUUCAUCUUGUGUUAUACAAGAGUGUGUGAGAUAGAGACAAAACUCCAAGUCGAGAGUUUUGUGUACAGCAAAACAAAGUGAUGAGAGUGUGAGCGUGUAUCCUUUCAACUGUAAGUCUUGAAGUAGUGUUUCUCUUGCUGUAACCUUUAUUCGUAUAAUGGAUUUUCUUUGUUGAUGUUGCCUCGUGGACGUAGGCACUUUGCCUUGCCGAACCAGGUUAAUUCUCGGUGUUCUUAUCAUUUUAUUUCCGCUACAUUUUACAUUUAUGGUUAUAAGUUUACAAUUUCAUUCUACAGUUUAUUCUUCCGCAAUAACCCAACAUGGUAACCUUGGUCAUUUGAAAGGAUCAAGGACACCAAAACUUGGAUGAUCCUUGAUAAUUCCAAGAAAACCAGGUGCGAAUGGAAUUGGCUCACUCUUCAUUGGGAUUGGGAUGAAACCAAGCAUAUUAUGAUCUCUCCACAUCACCAAUGCCUUCUUCUGUUGCUCCCUAUUCUCCCACUUCCCAGCAAACCGAAACUUCCAGUUACCUAUUCCUCCUGCUCCUGGCCCAAACUCCUCCAGAAACUUCUGCUUCCACGUACAGCUCAUCAUUAUUGGCUAGAUUUUGUAGUUCCUUUCACAGUUCUUUGCUUCACCAUUCUUAUUUCUUAAUUUGCUUCGCUAGCUAUUGAGUGUAUACGUUGUUGGUUUGGUACCAUCAAUCAACCAUUAUGUUUGGUCGUCAAUUGGGGCUGGAGUGUCGUGGCCCCCGGUGGUAAUUUCAAAUUUCCCCUUUAAUUAUAGUUUAAUUGCAUAUAAUUAUGUAUUCAGUUUAAGAAUUUGGUAUAUAUUAGCCCUUUCAAAAAUUUUGGCCCCUCCAUAAUUUUGUUUGAAGUUCCGCCACCGUCAUUGGUGUUAGGUUCCAAGCCUUAAUACCAACAACUGAACCCUAAAGACAGGUACCAUCUAUUGCAAAACCACCAUACGUUAUAUAUGUUAGCAAAAUGAAAACACACAUCAAAUUGCACAGUUUUGUUGUAAAACAAAAGGAAUAGAUUAAGAAAGAGAGAAACAACCAAGAGAAUGAGAGAAUAUGUGUAUAUUAUUGAGUAGGGAACCAUCUCUUAUAUAGAGAUGAGGUCAUGAUGUAAAUUAUAAUAACAACCCUAGUUGGCUAAUUAUAAGAAUGCCCACUAAAUAAUAACUAUUUACAACACUCCCCCUUGGGUAUUCUCUGUCAUUAGCUUCCCCUAAUAUGUGCUUCGGUGUUGCCUCGUCAAAACCUUGCCAGGUAAUAAAAACCCUAUGGGACAAAAACAAUCCUGGUCGAAGGAGAAACGAGUACAACGCACAAGUAGCAGUGAUAGUCAGAACCCUUGAUUUCGGUGAAGCGGUUUAGUCUGGAUCAUAAGAUGUGAGUCUAUGAGAGAUAGAUGCAUAAUAGUUGCUACACCAAAACCUUGCCCAGUAAACCCAGUGGGACAAACCCGUGGUCGAAGGGAAAAGAUGAGCAAAUGCAUAUAUUUCAAAUAAAGGCAUCUUCAAGAUGCACCAUGAGGAAGGUGACCAAUUACAUGUGUGCCUCAUUAAAACCUUGCCAGGUAACAAAACCCAGUGGGACAAAAUAACCCUAGACGAAGGACAAAAAGAGUACACAAUGGUCAAGAGUAUACUUCAGGAUACUCCCCCUAAUAUUGACUCCCCCUAAAAACUACACACUAGGUAAAACUACUACAUUGAUCAUGCUUCUUGAAUAACUUAAUAGUCAGCAUGAUUUAAAGAGGUUUUUGUUUCAUAUACCUCUAAGAUUAUUGUAUUCCCUAUAAUAAAGACAUAACCAGUUGGGAAUAAGCCUUGUGUGGGUUUACAUAACCCGUGUCAACAUAUUUAACAAGGCAAACAUCAUUCCAAGGAUCAUAGGCGGUUGAUCCAUUCCAUAAUGCCUAGGGAUAAAAUGAGUCAUUUUCCAUCAUACAUUUAAAGUAACGGAAAAUUGUCUUUUAUGCCAUUUACGGAGGCGACAUGUUGGCGCAGAGCUAUAUCUAGCUAACAAAUUCACAUUAGAUGAGAUGUCCGGUCAAGGCCAUUUAACCAAGUACAAUAAUGCGUCUAUUGUACUUAGAUAUGAGUCUUCUAGCCUUAAUAUCUCUUCAUUAUUAUCUGCAUGAUAAUACGAGUGUCUUUAGACCUUGGAUGACUAUAGGUGUGCUUAAAUACUUUGUUUUAUCCUCAUCAAAGUAUCUUAACAUCUUCUAGAUUUAAUUUGAUUGAUGGACCAAAAUUCCAUCUGCACUUUGCAUGACUUCAGGUCGACAAAAUAAUAUUUGGUCUCCUAAAGUCAUUCAUCUCAAACUCCGAUUUCAGGUGUUUUGCAGUUUCCUUAAUCUCUUCAAGAGUAUCAGUCAAAUUCAUGUCAUUGACAUAAAUUACCAUAAAUUACAAACCCGGAAUUUGUUUCCUUAAAACAAGCAUGGGCAUAGUCCAUUUGUUCAUAUAUCCCACCCCAAACAAAUAUUCACUUUAGACGGUUAUACCAACUCCGUCUGGAUUGUUUGAACCCCUAAAGUGAACUACUCUAGCAAAUGGAGAGCAUGUUCUGUGGUCUAGAACUAUUUGUAUUGGGUAACAGAAGUCCUUCAGGAAACUUCAUGUAUAUCUUUAUAUUCAGAUCCUCAUAGAGAUAAAUUGUUACCACAUUCAUAGACUGUUUAUUCAGUUAUUUGGAAACUACCAAACUGAUAAGGUAGUGGAACGUUAUGACGUCCAUUACGGGAAAGUACGUCUCCUCGUAAUCAAUCGCAGGGCAUUGAGAAAAUCCUUUCACCACUAAACGAGACUUAUAUCACAAUCUCGUUUUUCUCAUUACGUUUCCUUACAAAUACCCAUCUAAACAAUAUAGGUUUAACAUGGGUAGGUGUGGGAACAACAGGCCCAUAACACAUUUCUCUUAGUUAAUGAAUUUGAUUUGACCUGGAUUGUUUAUUUCCUUUUUAGCCAGUUGUCUCUUCGUUGAGAUCUGUCAACGAAGCAAGGUUCGACAUCAUCGCUUAUUAUAAAUUCGGUGGCCACCGCAAAUACAAACAUAUCAUCGAUGAACUUUCAUUCCGAUUCAAUAUCUCACAAAAUUUACCGAGAUUUUAUAUUCUCGGGAGUGGGUUUAAAUGUUGGAGCGUCUCCCAACAUCGUCUCUUCUAGGACAAACCCAUAAUCCAGAUUUAUCUCGUGAGUUGAAUUGGUUGAGAUUACGAUGGCAAGAAGAUUCAUUUGUGCCAAGUUUACCCUCUUCUAGGGAUAAGAAUCGUUUGAACCUAAUGGUUUACCUCGCUUCUGGGUAGGGACUAUGACUGGUUAGCCGCCAUGGCUGUACCUCGUCCAACUAGGACGAUACGUCCUACAGGGACAUUUAUCCUUGCAGGUUUGCAGCAGGUAUAUAUUAUCUCGUCACUUUAACUAGAAGUAAAAUUCUUCGCACUUCAAUUUCACAUGUGCGGUUUGGGGAUCAAGAUGAGACAUUCUACACGUCGUUCAUCAGGAACGCUCACAUUCUUAUCUCCCCCCAACGGCGGGAAGAUUGUCUCAUCAAAGUGACGACCACAAAUCUAGCGGUAUAGAGAUCUCCUGUCAAGGGCUCUAAAGAGCACAUAAUGGAUAGGGUUCAUAAUCGACAUAUAUGCCCAUCCUUUGUUGAGGACCCGAUUUUGUACGUUGUGGCGGCACAAUUGGCAUGGAGACUGCAAACCCAAAUGUGUGUAAGUGCAAAAACAUUAGGUUCACACCCAGUCACCAACUGUAACACGAAGUAAGACGGGUAGCAGGGGGCCUCAACUGGACCGACAUGGCUGCAUGCAAGAUUGCAUAGCCCGACGCAAACAAUAGAAGCUUGGUGCGCAUUACCAAAGUUCUAUAUGCGAGACCAUCUUAGGUUUGAACAUAGGAAACUAUAUGUUUUACAAAACCCAAGGGAUAUGCAAUAAUCAUCGAAAACCUUCGAUGUAAACUCUCCGGCAUUAUCAAGUCUUAUAGACUUUACGGGAUAAUCCGAGUGGUGUACCCUCUAUUUCAUAGGUGAGAGUUUAGCAAAGGCAUCAUUUUCUUGUGGACAAUAGUGUGACAUCUUAUCACUUAAUUUGUCGAUGCAUCAACCAAAACCAUUAAUAUUUAACUGGUCCGUAUGGUGGUUGGAUAGGUCCACAUAUUUUUCCUUGCAUUCUGUGCAUAAUUAAAGAGAUAAUGUAUAUUCUAGUCUUUGCAUGUGAUGGUCUAGUAUUCAACAUUCUUAACGAGCAGCUUGAUAUCAUGUGUCAUUAAAGACAAGACCCUUAUUUCUGAGGGGGAUGCCCGUGUGAUAAUUGAGUUUGAGGAUACGGUGUAUCAUAUGUUUUUCCUGGGUGCAUCAAACACCAAUACUAUAGCUAGUAUUUGCCCGAAUCAUUUAGCUUCUAGCUAAUAAAUUUGAAUAUAGUCAAUGUACGCUUUUGGCCGCACAUUCGAAGGUUACGCAAAGAUAUUACACCAUUUUUCUGGUGGUUUUAAUGUUUUAAGCAUUGAUUCAAUGAACUUACCUUUCGAUAACGUUCUUCUGAAACGUAAAGAUAUUUUGACCUCGUCAGCCAGACGAGAACGCUCAAUUCCUUAAUAUUGAUAACUCAUAUCAAUUUUAAUUUAGAUUCUAAAGCAACAAGCCCUUCCAUUUUAAUAUUCUUUUGCUUUAUGCAAGGAAGAUGUCUAGUUUAAAUUUUUUCUUCUGGAGACUACCAAUUAACAUGAUAAAGCUACCGAUUUUAUCAUGUCUGAUGAAUUUGGAAUGAAACUUCAAGUUUCUUAAGGGGAUUAUUAUCGAAACUAGAAGAUUGAUUUAUAAAUGAACUACGGGUUCAUGUCUGAACUACCGGUUCAUUUCUGAACUACUAGUUCAUUAGGUACAUGUAUUUUCAAGUUAUAAUCAUGUAACAAUUGAUGAUAUUAAUUCCACGCUACUAAUUUAGCAUAGUGAAUAUGUUACGUAACUAUGUGUAAAUGCUUCUGGCAAUUAACUACACAUUAAAUAUGAUGAAUAUAUUAACGUACAAUAGCCAUUAUGAGAAAAUAUUUGGAGAGUCCUAUAGACAUACAUAAUGACUAGGUACGAAAAUCCAGUGUCAUUAGAUUAUUUUCCUUUUGUUUGAUUCUGCUGGACCAAAGGAAUUGACUGAAAUUAAAGUGAAAUAAAUAAACCUAGCCUAUACAUACUUUACAAGCCUACGGGGCACAAUCUGAGAGGUAUGCUAGGCUUUUAGGUCCCAUAGAGGGAGAGUAGGCCUACUGGGCUAAUAAUGGUCUACCAAGAAAUGCAAUGUUAUUAAUCAACCCUUUCGGUAACUCCAAUUGUAUACGACCAGGUAAGCCAUGAUGAGGUGGUGGAGGGAGGCUCACUUAAGUACACAUCCUCAAAAGUACUUGCCUAGACAUCGCAUCCAACUGGGUGAGCUUAGUUUGAGAAGAGUUAUAAUCAUUGUCAUAGACUCAAGGCGACACAUGACGAGCUUAUGUUCUAGCCUUGGAGCUUAGGUCGAGCUUCUGGCUCAAUUUCAUAUAUAUUCAUGUUUGAUUUAAGCUUCUGACUUAACAUCAUUAAUAUUCACCAAUAUAACAUAAACCAAUGGAAUAUAUGUUAUUAAAUAGUAACAUACAAACUUAAUGUGAAAGUAAUUAUAUGAAACCGAAAUAAAUUAAAUUAUAACGGAAACAAUUUAAUUCUCAUCGACAUAAUGUAUAUGCAAUAAAAUUACUAAACCAAUAAAUGUCAAUAACGUAGCGGUUACUUGCAAAACUAACUCAUUUGCAUCUCCAAUUGCUUCUGGCAUUAAUGUGUCAUUACAUACUCAUAAUAAUUAUCGAUAUAAACGAUAACAUAAUUGAGAACUAAUUGAAUAAAACUGACGCGAUUUGAAUUUAGUAACCGACAAUUAAUAUAUGACAUAAAUUACUAAAUAAAUAUCAUUUAUGCAGCGGUUAAGUACCAAAGGCAAUGAGUUCAAAUCUCAUUAAUGUUUCUAGCAUUACACAUAAGUAUUAAAUUGGAUAAAUGCUUCUGGUAUGACAUUGAUGUAAUAAUCACGUAAUUAAACCUUAAUACUUCAAGCACAAUUUAUGGGGUUAUAAAUGUGUAAUUGCUUCUGGCAUUAUACCCUCAUAAAUGUCAAAUUGAAAUGAAUAUGAUUCUAAUUCGUAAUUGACAUUAAAUUAGGAUCCGACAUAAAGUCAAUAACAAAUAUCAUUUAUGUAGCGGUUAUGGGUUUAAAUCCCAUUAAUGCUUAUAACAUUAUGUAUUACUGUAUUAGUAAUAAAUGAGGUAAAUGCUACUGGCAUAACAUUUAUAUAAUAAUUAUGUAAUUAAACUCAAAAUUCAUGCUUCUUGCAUAAUGAAUUAUAAUGAAAAUUAUUCAAAUUGACGUAACUGAAUAUUAAAUUCAUAACGUUUGUAUCAUAAUGUGCACAAUAAUUUGGCCCAUAAUGCUUAUAGCAUAAUGUGGGUUGUAAAUUGGUAAAUUGGUAAAUGAUUCUGGCAUUACAUGUCCUUAAAUGACAUAUUGAAUUUGACACAAAUCAAAUUUGUAACAGACAAAAUAUACAUAUUAAGCUACAAUUAAGUAACAUAAUUAGCACUAAAAUGUCGUUAUGUCCUUAAAUGACAUAUUGAAUUUGACACAAAUCAAAUUUGUAACUGACAAAAUAUACAUAUUAAGCUACAAUUAAGUAACAUAAUUAGCACUGAAAUGUCGUUAUACCAUUGACGUAACAUUUACUAACGGAUUUUAUUUAAACCCCAUUAAGAGCAAUAUUAAUUCCUUCUUAUCACUAAAUGAUUCAGGCAUAAUGAAUAUGAAAUAUAUGUAACGUCUGCUAUCAUUGACCAAAUUAAUAGUAAAACCUUAAUGGUUACAAGCACUACUUCCGGAAUGCAUGCAUGAUCUUGAGUUUGGAUAUCAUGAAAAACUAUACUUUUUGCUGAUCCAUGUGCCUCCUUGUCUGCACUACUAGGUAGUUGCGAAGGUUGAUUUCGGUGGCUACUGGCCUCCGUAGUGAUUUCCUUUUUUGGUGCUAUAUUUCCUUUUCCAAUUCUCAUAACAUAAGAAAACUUAUAUGACAUUUCAUGUUCAUAUGUAUUAACCAAAUAGACUAAUACAAUAUAUUUGGCGCUCAUGCAUCGUAGACGGAUUUUUCAAUAUGCAAUCAAAGUUAAUAAGCAUGAAAUCAUAAAAUCGAAACAUAAACAACAUGUGGUUCAUGCUUCAGGAUGGUUUUUCAUGUAAUCAAGGUUUAAAAGAAACAUGAAUUAUAAUAGAGUUUAGAAAACUUUACUCGAUGCAAAGCGAAUCAAUGAGUGUUCAUCUUAUGUGUCAGAACCGAGAAUAUUGGUGGACUAAACUUCUAAUCCAAUCCGAGAGCUUGUUUGUGAUUGAAAUUUUGAACCAUGUUGAAUGAUUCUUCCAUCGAUUGAUCAACGGUCUCUCUUCCAUGCUGCAUAAAAACUACCUUAGCGUUAGAACUAUUCAUGCUGAUAACGUGUUGUAAAAUAAAAGGAAUAGAUUGAGAAAGGAGAGAAACAACCAUGAGAAUGAGAGAAUAUGUGUAUAUUAUUGAGUAGGGAACCAUCUCUUAUAUAGAGAUGAGGUCAUGAUGUAAAUUACAAUAACCCUAGUUGGCUAAUUACAAGAAUGCCCACUAAAUAAUAAUUAUUUACAACAAGUUUUAGUUUAUUACAGAACCACAUUUUCUUUGUGAAAGACUUUUUAACAAUAAGACAGCUCCUCAAUCAACAUCAGGUAGCGAUGAACCAGAGAUGCAAUGAACUCCUCAAUGUUCUUGUUAGUGCUUCCAUCUUCAUCCACAGCCUUUCUAGCCGAUUCUUUCAAUGCUAUAGCAUUUCUCUAUAUUUCUUUUCCCCUUUGUCCCUCCAAUAUUUCACUUACACAAUGCUCUACUUCUUCUUGCCUCACAAUCCCUUUCUCAUCAACUUGAGCUUUGAUCCCAAUUUUCCACACAUCCAUAAUGUACGUACUCAUUGGCAUUGGUGCUUUGGUCAAUCCAUCGAGGCAUUGCAACCAUUGGAACCCCCAAACUCAAAGCCUCCAAUGUGGAGUUCCAACCGCAAUGUGUAAUGAAGCAACCAACUGCUUCAUGAGCUAAAACCUCCAAUUGGGGACACCAGGAAACCACCAAACCCUUUGCAGAUGUCUCCUCGACAAACCCUUUCGACACCUUCCUUGCUUCUGAUUCUCUAAUCACCCACAAGAAUUUUCAAAGAUGCAUAUGGUCUAGGCAACAUUGAUCAUUAGCUUAUGAAACUCCAAAUCAUAUUUGUAGCCAAAAAGUGACUGAGAUAAGGGAAAUAAUUCCUAUAUACUUACUUGCUCUUCCAACUCAUAAAAUGUAUUGCAGAGGACCCAAUCAGCCUUGUCAACAUUGCAGAACUGAUCCACAACAACCAUUUUAUAGGCGGCCAGGUAAGACCCGAAAUCAGAUAGAAAGGAUGGCAGGUCUGAGGGCUUAAGUGUCAGCAACCCGGAAGCGAUAUUUCAGACUCAACAACAGGCAGUUUCAGCGAUCCAUUCUUCACAUGGUAGUAGAUGGUGUUUACAGCACAAGACUAUGUGAAGAAGAUAGCCCCAAGAAUACCAAAUUUCUUAGCAAUAUCCAGAGGCCAAGACAAGAAUGCAUCAUGAACAAUACAAUCAACUGGUAAGCCUGAGCUUGAAAGCUUCUCAAGAAGCUCAGCCAAAGUUUGUGACCCUGAUUUCCUCAAGCUCUCCAAAUAGACAUCUAUGCUUCCUUCUUCUACUCUCCCACCUUGAUCAUAACCAUUAGAGAUCGUCUCCAAUGGAACAUGACUUGACCCUGACCUGUGCAUUGUCUUGCAUAAAAAGCGAGUGGUAACUAGUGUCACUUUGACUCAUUUAUGCUCUAAGAGCUUAGAGAAUUGGAGCAUGGGAUUGAUAUGGCCUUGGUCAGGAUAGGGUAAGACCAAGCAGUGAGCUUUGUAGGCUCUUUGUUGACCCUUCUCCAUUUCUCUAUCUAUGUCUUGCAUAGGCAAGCCACAACAAUGGCAGUUUAUAUACUGAUGAACAAUGAAUAUGAUGAAUACACAACUACUCAACCAAAUGAUGAAACUCAAUACGUCUCUUAGUCAUUUGGACAUGAAUUUCCAGAGAUGAAUGUUUUUAUAUUUAGGGAAGGUGGAAUAUGAGGGUAAUCUAAAAAGAACACUAGUGUAGAACCCAAAUGCAAGUGUUCAACCACAAGAGUUGGAAAUCCAUAAUAAAAAAAGAAAACUACAAAGGGACCCUGAGGUUUUGUUUACUACAUAAAAUUAACAUAGAAUGAAAAUUGAACGGGCCAUUUUAGUUCGUAAUUCAAAAACAUUAGUCAGGGUAAACAACACAGAAUCAAUUUUCUUAUCAAUUCUGAAGCCCCCUAAAUCAUGACAAUAAAAAUAUCAGUUAUCACAAUCAACUAUUAAACUUUUAUAAAGGAUUCACUGAUGUAUAGUAAACUAGUGCAACUAAUUAAGGCAAAAUAAUACGAAGGGUAUACUAGCAUUAGGCAUUCAGGCAGGCAUCAUUUUCAUAAGAAACUGGUUUUUUCCCAAGUCAUGUUACAAAGCAAGCAAGUGCAGAUACCCCAUCAAUAUUACUAGUGUGUAAUGAAGCACCCAACAGCCUCAUGAGCCAAAACCUCUAGUUGGGAGCACCAUGAAAAUUGAAUCAAGAUGAACUGCACAAUCAGGAUUCAGGAACCAAGAUGAAGUGUACUGUCAUCCGACGAAAGCGUAAUGGUCAAAAUGCUAUAAUAAUUUCUCAAUAAUGUGAAGUUGCAGGCCAAGUCUCUAUAAGUCUCUAUACGUCUCUUUGUUGCAUUAUGACUAAAAACAAUGUUUGGGACAACUACUUACUGACCCUUGGUGGUGCUUAAACAUAGAAUAACACUCUCUAAGUGUUGAAUAUGAAACAAAAGAAAUAAGUGAAUGUUCUCAAUGAUUGACCACAGUACCAGUACCCCAGUUAAUUUUUGGGUCUCACUUCUCCUCUUUCAUCGCUGAACACAUUAAAAUCUGAAACAGAAUUAAGUAAACUAAUUUGCAUCAAGAAAAGAAUCAAUCUUCAAAAGCAAAGAAAAUAAAAGGUUAAAUUAUGGGAGGGAAAAGCCAACGCCACAAUAUUGAUCUCUUAAUUGUAAGUAGUGGCAUCAGAACGAGCUGCGUAAAUUUGCAUUUUAUUUUUCAUCACAAGAACAAUUCUUAUUCUCAAAAUAGACAAUUCAAGGAUUCAGAGGACUUGUAACAGAACUACAUAGGAAAGGCACUAACUGAAGCCAAACUAAUGGAAUCAUCAGUGUAAAGGCGUGCAAUAGUACAAUAGAGAUCGAGGUACCAAAGAAGUUGCAGAGUUUCAGUGAACUUGACACUUGAGCAACUCUUAAUGCUUAACCAACGUCGCAAUGAACUCAUCAAUGUUUCUGUUGGAACUUCCACCGUCAACCACUGCCUUUCGAGCCAAAUCUUUCCAUUUCAUGGCAUUCUUUUGUAUUUCUUUUCCGUUGUCCCCCUCCAUGAUUUCAUUAAUACAACGCUCAACUUCUUCUCGCCUUACAAUGCCUUUCUCAUCAGGUUGAGCUUUAACCCCUAUUUCCCAAACAUCCUUAAUGUACUUGGCAUUGGUGCUUUGGUCAGAAUAUUGUGGCAUUGCCACUAAUGGAACUCCUAAACUCAGAGACUCCAAAGUUGAGUUCCAACCACAAUGUGUAAUGAAGCACCCAACAGCCUCAUGAGCCAAAACCUCUAUUUGGGAGCACCAUGAAACCACCAAACCCUUCUCAGCUAUCUCCUUGAUGAACCCUUCGGGGACUUUAGCUGCUUCUGAUUCUCUAACCACCCACAAGAAUUUGCUUUUGCUCCUUUUCAAACCCCACGCCAGUUCCUCCAUUUGCUCAAGUCCAAGUUGUGCAGCACUGCCGAAUGAGAUGUAAGCAACAGAGUUCUUCGGAUGUUUGUUUAACCAUUUCAUGCAUGCAUCAUUGCUGGAUUUAAAGAGGUCAACGCCAUAACCUUUGUCGUCUUUAAGUCGGUUAUCCAAGUAGUUAGAUGGUAUAGUUGGUCCAAUGGUCCUCACUGGCCAAAACUUUGCCAACCAAUCCACCACCUACACAGAGCAAAAACAAGGAAGCAAGAUAAUUGACAUCAGUAAGUUUAGUUUUGUGGUUAUAUAGCAACUGGUUUUGGAACUUAGAUUCAUAUAAACACCAUGAUAAAAAAAUUGAGAUCUCAAAGCACCAAGAAGAAUAUAUAAGCAAAUGAGACAGAUGUAACAGACCAUGGUUGUAUACUUGUGUGUAUGUGUGUGUAGCAGUCUCUAAUGUACUCACUUGUUCUUCCAACUCAUAAAAUGUGUUGCAGAGGACCCAAUCGGCUUUGUCAACAUUGCAGAACUGACCGACAACAACUUCAAAGUAAGCUGGAUAAGACCCGAAAUCGGAUAGAAAAGAUGGCAGGUCCAAAGGCUCAAGUGGUAGCAUCCCGGGAAGAGAAAUUUCUGAGUCAGUAAGAGGAAGUUUCAGUACCCCUUUGUUGACAUGAUUGUAAAUGUUGUCAACAGCACAAGACUGAGUAAAGAAAACAGCCCCAACUAUUCCAAACUUCUUGGCAAUGUCCAAAGGCCAAGGCAUGAUUGCAUCAUAAACAAGACAGUCAACUGGGCACCCUGAGCCAGAUAGCUUCUCAAUGAGCUCAAACAAAUUCUGCGACCCCACUUUCCAAAAGCUCUCCAAAUAGGCCUGGAUACUUACACCCUGCGUUUUCCAGCCUUCGUCGAAACCAUCAGAGAUGGCCUCCAGUGAGAUAGUCUCAAGUGCAGUGCAACAUGAUCCUUUGUACAUUGUAUUGUAGAUAAAACGAGUAGUGACCAGUGUGACUUUGACUCCUUUGUGAUCUAAAAGCUUAGAAAAUUGCAGGAGAGGGUUGAUAUGGCCUUGACUAGGAUAGGGAAAGACCAAGCAGUGAGCUUUGUAGUCUCUCUGUUCUUUCUCCAUUUCUCUGGUUUGUUGUGUAUCUGUGUUGUUUGGAAAGAACUUCAGCUGCAAGGUAAUAUAUACUGCUGAAGUAUGAAGAUGAAGUGCACAAUCAGUCCACGAAACUAGUGGUCAGAUAAGUCUUGUACACCAAGUUCUAUCUAUACGUCUCUUUAGAAGCAAGGUAAUAUAUUCUGCCGGAAGUAACGUUAUAUCAUUGUUUUAGAAGUUGGUAAAAAUACGUGCAAAGGUUUAUGAUUGACAUCGAUUGACCAGUAGUUGGAAGAAUGCUGAUCUAUAGACUGUUGAAAGCUUAUCUAUGAUUAUGGCGACCUAAGAUUAGGUACAGAUAGCCAAUAAUUCAGUAUAAUAAAUUUUAUAGCUCAUUUGGGGAAGUCAGAAUGUCAAGUACAAUUUGGCUUUUGCAUCAGUGCCGCGUGAGUGCACUAUAACUUGAAUGGAAAUCCUAAAAAGUUCAGUGUAUAGAUGAUCACCCUCUGCAGAUUAACAUGGACACCCUGAGGCGUGUCAUUUGGAACCAUUUACUUUUAUGUCCCAGAAUACUCUAGAAGAGGGGAAGAAUGUUUAAACCCACACAACAUCAAAUAUGGUUCUGAGUGUGCUCCUAUUCCCUCCUGUCAAACUAUAUAACCUGAUGGUUCUGGGGUUUCAAGAAUGUAAAUAGGGGAUUCAAUGGCUGGGAAGAAAAUAACAGGGUUGCGAGGAAGGCAAGAACUGGAGUUUAUUAAGUUGGACGAUGUAUAAUAUUGUACUUGGUAGAAUUUCUUGAUAAACUAAAAUUUGCUUUUAGUGUUCUACAAUCCACAUGCAAAUGAUUGGUAUCCGAUCAGCCAAAUCAACUUGAACCAUAUUAGUCGGUGAGCUGUGGCUUAGUUAGUUAAAGUUAAUUAAAGUGUUUAACUGACAAAUUUGAGGUCACUGGUUCAAACAUAUGUAGGGUGUGUGAGUUAUUAAUAAAAUAUUUAUAAAAAAAAAAAUUUGAACCAUAUUAUGCUGGCAGAAUAGAUAUCAUUGAUAAAUUAAAGCUAGGAGACAUUUGUUGUUACCGAAAGUAACUCUGCUCAUAAUAGUGUAUUAUCUAUGAAAAAUAUUAAAGAUAAUAUGCUGAAUGAAGAAACUAGAAAGAGUUCUUCGUCAAGUUCAGAAAAUGGGCAAUUCUUCAUUGCAGAGAAUAGAGGAAGGAGCAAGAGCAGAGGACCGAGAGGCCAUGGAAGAAGUAUGAGCAAAUCCAAAACAAGGUUUAACGAAAAAUGUCAUCAUUGUGGUCUUCCACAUUACUACAAAAACGUUAUCAGACAACACUCAUCAUACAACCUUUUAAGGUUCCCUACUUGUUUGAUGAAGUGAACUGUUACAUACAACGCAAAGUUACAAAGUUUUGUUGUUUGAUGACACAAAAUUGUCAGGUUAUAUUUCAAGAGUUCAAAACACAACAAUGAUGCUAAUUUUAUGUUGUAUGAUUUAUGAAAAUUUUGGCUGAAGGAUUCCCCCCAUCACCAAAUUGAAAGUCGUGCAAGAUGCAAAAUGUUUGGACAAUAGACUUUUAUUUCUUUGUUGUAUGAUGUUGUUACAAUUUAUACUAGGCAAUACCUAGUGCAAGUUUAGAAAAUAUAUACAACAAUUUAAAACGUUCUGUUGUGUGACUGGAAAAUCUGAUGGCAUGCCAAAGUCGUUUUGGCUCCAAAGUUUGCCUCCAUCGAUUUGGUGUGCUAUGCCAAAAUAGUUUUGGCUCCAAAGUUUCCCUCCGAGUAUAUAUUCUGUUGUGUGAAAAAGUAUGACAAAUUCAAUAAGGUACCCACCAACCCUAAACGCUAGUCUCACACUCUCACUCCACUACCACAAAAACAGCUUUAAACAACGCCUAUCAAACGACGUAUAACAAUAAACCGUCGUGUGACUAAUUUUUAACUUUUUAGAUGUCAGUUUUUGAAUAAAUCAUCGUGUGAAUGUGUAAAAAUUUGAGCCCAGAUUGCAAGGUAACCAACAUGUAAGAAUGAUACGACGUUUUGUAAUAAAAAUGUGGUGUGAGUGUAUGUUUUUGCAGCAAAACCAUGUCAGCCAAUAUUUCCCUCCAACUUUCUCCCCAAAUUUAGCCCCAAACUUAGAGAGGGAACAUGAAUUUUGAUGGAGGCAAUGCCAAAACUUAAAAUUUCAGGCAUCAGACCAUAUUUAUAGGUUUUACGUGGUGUGAUUUAGUGUCGAAAUGAAUGCCAACUUCAAUCUGCCCAUACCUUCCCCUUUACAUUUUAGCCCAAAAUUAAAUUCUCCCCCCAACACUUAAACAAAAACAAAAAAGUUAAAAGCUAAAACCUCGACAAACACACUCACAAAACCAAAAAACAAACACUCACAGCACCAGAAACCUCGACAGCUCUCGACAGCUCUUGAGCAAAAACCCAAAAUAUUCGCAAAAACCCAAAAUAUUCACAUCUUCGUCUGCCUCGUCUAUCUCUUUACCGAAAACCUCAACCCACAUCUCUCUCGACCCCCAUCUCUCUCAGCCUCGUCUACCUCAACGGAGACGACGAGGAAGCUGUCGGCGCUGCCUGACCUAGCCCUAGCUUCUCUCUAGAUUCGUCUCUAGCCUGGUAAGCUCUAUCCCUUACAUCUCUCAUAAAUCGAUUUCGAUGAAUUCAAGGUUUCAAUUUUGAUGCAGGUGACUUGGACAGUUGGAUUGAGACAACUACAAUACCAUUUGGAGCUUUGAUUUUCUGACGAUUAUUUCUCUUAUGGUAAUUGUUGGAAUCAAAAUUGCUGGGUUUUGGGUUUUGGGAUUUAGGAUUUGGGAAUUCGGUUUUGGGUAUUUGAGUUUUAGGAUUUCACUAGAUCUGUUGCUGGGUUUUGGGUAAUAAGGCUUUUAGGUUUUGUGCUAUAAGGAUUGUAGUUCUUUUCUGGGUUACUGCUUUGAUGAGUAGUUGUUCUUCAUGAUUGUUGCUUUUAUUAAUUGUUCUCAAUAUGAUUACUCUCACCUUUAUGCAGAAAUGACAGAGUUUUUCUUUGUGGACAUGACCACAUUUGUAGAUGACUACUUCACAAAUCCAAAAGAGCAUGUCUAUGACUGGAGAGGCGUCAUUCCUUGAGAGGAUUACCUCUCAAAACUCUUCAAGGUAUGCAACCACAAUUAAUACAUUAUUAAAAGGAUUAUUGUUUUCUUUUAAAUAUCCAACCUAAUACAUUGUUGUUUCUUAAAUGGGAUAUAUAUGAUGCAUAUAUGAAAUUUAGUGAUCUGUUUAAAUGUUGUUUAGGAGAUGGAAGGAAAACAAAUGAGCAAAAAAUGGAAUAUAUUUGUUUGAAUUUAGCAGUUUAGUAUGGGUAAUGGGACUAUGUUCUAUAGUUUUAUGGAUGUUUAGUGGGUUAAUUUAGUGGAAUUGAGUCUCUUAAACUGUUUUCUCUACUAUAAUAUAGUGGAAGCUGGUUAUNNNNNNNNNNNNNNNNNNNNUUAUAUAUAUAUAUAUAUAUAUAUAUCAUGUAGUAUGUCAGCUUUAUUGGAUGAUCUAGGUUGUUAUCUAGAAUCUUCACCAUUAUUCCUUAUUCUUGGUAGUUGAUAGCAAUACAGCAAAGGGGAAUUUUCUGAUUUGAAGGGGAGUUUUCUAUAUCUGAUUUGUUUGUUGGUAUGUGAUAUUGCCUUCGAUCUAUCAGCUAUUCCCUAACUUCUUUUUUGUGGUUUGUCUUGCCAUUCCGGAUUACAGUGAGUAGGAGUUUUAGAAGUAUGGUCAUUAGCAGCUUCAAGUGAUGGAUCGUCUGUACAAUUUCUGCAAUGCUGAGGUAGCCUUAACCUCUAUGCCAUUUAUCUACUUGUCCAAGUUAAUUGCUAAAUAAAGUGGAACCUUGGUAGUGUUGUAGAGCAUUAGGCUUCUCAGAUAACUAAUAAUGCGAAUUUCCUACUGCCCUAUCAUUUGCUAUCUACCUUUCUCUUAAGUUUGUGGAUUUUUGUUUUCAUUGCCAAUAUUGUUUAUUUUCUGGUGUCUUUAUGCAUUAUAUGCAGCUUUUAUGCUGAACCAUUUCUCCAUGCUUGAAAAACUAUGUGGUAAUCUAUUUCUCUUACACUCUUAGAUAUUAGUACAUGUCAUUUGCUAUGUUUGAUGUCAUUUGUAGCCUUAGUGUUUACUUUAUGCAGUUGGUUUUGAUUUGAUGCAAGUAUGUUGGGCAUUGUUGAACAAAACGUCUCCUACCAUUUUGUCUAAUAUAAGUUCUCUUUCUUGAUUAUUGAAACAGACAAUGGAGCUAUAAAGAACAACUAAUGAAUUGAUAUUCCUAGCCUACUCAAACAUGUCAAAGAACAAAAAGAUGCUAAGGGCUAAAGAGAUGACAUCAAAAGGACUGCGUAUAGUUUCUAAGGCAAUUUUAGAUGAAAGAGAUUUAGUUUUGAUGCUUGGAAUGAACAAAUGCACAAAUUUUUGACUUGGAAAGAUCGGUUACAAAUAGCAAUAGAUGCUGCACAAGGUCAGCAAGUAAUUGAUCAUCGUUGUCCUUUACUUGCACUCAUUUUUCUUCUCUUUUGUUUUCUUUUGUUUAUGGACUUUGUUGAUAAAUGAUGUCUCAAUUGUAUAUGGAAUUUUGUAGGACUGGAAUAUUUGCACUAUGGUUGCAAGCCGCCCAUAAUCCACAGGGAUGUCAAGUUGACAAAUAUCCUGCUGAAUGAAUAUCUUCAAGCUAAACUAUCAGAUUUUGGCCUAUCCAAGAGUUUUCCAACUAAUGAUGGCAGUCAUGUAUCAACUCUUGUUGUUGGCACUCCAGGGUACCUUGAUCCUGAGUAAGCGUUUUUUGUUUAUAUCUUAUCCAUUAUAUUUAUCAUUACAGUUAUUGAAACAUUACAGGAACACAUAUUAAUUAAUCAACUAGAAAAAGAUGAGUAAUGAAGUUAUGAAGAAGAAUGAGGGACUUAAAAAGUCAAAAUAGAUAGUUUGGCAAAUAUUGUACUGGCCGUCUUGAUAUCCAAUCCCUUGUAUGUGAAAUUUUUGGAUAGAUUGCUGGAAUUAUAGUCUGACAUGGUAUGCAAGCCUUAGUUGAAGACGGUUCUGCAUUUGAAACUUGGAAUCCUUAGUUAUUUGUUGGCUUGAAGGUAGACCAGGGGCUGUACCUAGUAUAUCCUUGUGCAUGCAUUUUUAUGAUUAAGCAGUGAUUGUGGAACUAAAGGAGUCUUUGGCAGCAAAACUGGCUCGAACUAAGCAGAGCCAUGAAACUGAAUCAAUAAGAGUUUCGAUGGAGAUCAUGGCUAACAAUUCCAUUGCUAUGCUAACUCCCUCAAUUAGGUAGCAUGUAUCUUGCAAUACCAGAGGUUUGCACUGAUGCUUCUGUGGAUGUUAUAUGCACUUAUUUAGAGACUAAAUUUUUAGUCUAUCUAUAUAUGCCAUUGCAUUUGUAUUUGAAGACCUGGAUUUUGUUUAUUAAUCAAAAUGUAAACUUCUAGUUGGCAUUGUUGAACAGUAUCAAGCAUGACCGUUAAACAAGCAUUUGGCAAAGCUUAUUUAGUUGGUAAAGGCAGUUGCUCAUUGUGUGGCAUUGCUGACUAUGAAGUUGGAGGAUCAAGAUUUUUGGGGAAGGCAAUUACUCCUCAGCAAGAACAACCAGCUGAAUAGAAAAACAACUGAUGAAGUAUUGCUAAAGAGUUAAGACAGUGUAGUUGCAAGAACACAAGAAACCUUCAGUUAUACUUGUGAGGAGAAUAAUUAGAUAAAAGAGAUGUAUGGAAUGAGAUCAAAUGAUCUCCAAAUUCAUGUAUGAGUAUUUGAGAGAUGUUACUUGUAUGAUAUAUUUUACAGGCCAUCAACUUGAAUUCAUAUAAUGAGAUUGAAAUUAAUGUGUGCACUGAAUAUUUUUAUUGAAAUUAUUUUUUAUAAAUAUAAAACUGGAUUAUAGCAAAAGAAAUAAUAAUAUAUAUAAUUGGAAAGAAAUUAAACCAAAAAGUUCCAUUAAAACUGACUUCUGAGUCUAUAUCAGAUAACAGUUUUAACAAUAAACGUUGUAUGACUACCAAUUACACAACUGUUACACAGAAUAACCGUGGAGUGAGUGUAUGUCACACGACAAAUAAUAUGUCGAUAUGCUGUCGACAUAUGUCGACAUCCCAUGGCUGUCGAUAGAUGUCGACAGCAAUCAGAUGACGUUUUUACAAAGUAUCAGACGGCACGCAAAAGACAACGGUAACUUGGACAAUCAGACGACGUUUUUUUGCCGUGGUCUGAUGCUAUUUUUGUAGUAGUGCUCUCUCACAUUCAUAUCGCUGUCUCUCUCUCCCUCGCAUUCAUUCACCCUAAACCCACCAAACAGAUUGACUCUCAACUCUCACUCUCAAACAGAUCGAGACUCUCGCCCUCUCUCUCAACUUUGUUGCUCUCUCACUCUUCUCUCAAAUCGAUUGAAUCUCUCAAAUGAUUCAAUCUCUCUUCUCUCUUUUAUAGCUGUGCACGGCGAGGUGAGGCCGGUCCAGAUCUCUAGUUCCGAUCAGAGCCGCCAUGGCUCCACCCUAGCUCCACCGCUCUCAGUAUUUGAUAGGUAACCCCCGUCUUCCUUUUCUUGGUCGAAGCCUCUGUACUGAACUGAAUUAUCAGCUGUUUUGGUAACUAAGAGGUGUGGAGUACUGUGUCUUCGUCGAUUUUGGGCAUAUGCAUGAGAUUUGGGGAUCUACAACAACAAGUUUUGGAGAGGAAGAGAGCUGCUGAUUUGGUCAUGUAGGGAAUUAAUCAUGGUAAGGCUUAGAGCAUGUUCGAUUUUGAUUCCAGUUAGGGUUAGAGAUUGGCUACUAAUACUUUGGUGCCUUAGGUGUUGAAAUGGUUGUUGUGGGGAAUGGCAGUAAAGAGGAAUUGAAGUUUGGGUUGGAACAGAAUUGAUUUCCCUUGUAAAAUGCAGCUCAUACAUGUCCAGGACUUGAGACCAAAAUGACAUGUCCAGGACUUCCGAAGACCAGGUUAGAUGAUUCAUAUGUACAUGUUGGUAUUGGUAUCAAUUCCAACUUCCAAGUAUCAGAAGAUUUACUUCAAUAAGUUGUUAUCAUUACUCUACCUGUUCUCUAUGAACUAAUUUUUAUAUAUGUCAUCCCAGGUUGGAGCUUUUGGUUACCGCAUGUUUGAGUUGGAAAAACGAGGUAAAAAAGUUUUUACUUUCAACCUCAAAUUGAGUGCCAUUAAAUCUCAUAUAUAUAUAUGAAUCCCUGAUUGUAUGAAACACUUGGUUCCUUGAAAAGCAUUUAAAAAGAUUUCUGUAAAAUAGUAAUGGUGAUGCAGGGCAGAAUUUGUUCUAGUUGGCUUUUCAUAUAUACAAAGUUGAUUGUUUGCGGUUAGACUUGUGAGGAUUGAUAUAACAAUGAGCUACCAAUUUGUAUGUUAUGCACUUAAUUAUGUGGAUAUUUAUUAGCAUAUAUUAUGUGUUGUAUGUUAUAGGUUAAUUUUGUACAAGCAAAAUCACUUCAUUCUUUGCAGUCAGUUUUGUGAGGAUCAACUUGACAAUUAACUAUUUUAGAUCAGUGAGGAGACUCGAUUUCAUUUCAUAGGUAGUGUAAUCCUAAAACUUGCUGAGCAUACUAAACUGGAAUUUGUUCACCAAUGCAUUAUGGUCCACCAAGUCCCAAGACUCCUUUCAUGGAGCCAUAGGAUAUACUUGAAGAUGCAUUUAAAUGGUUAAAUCGGUUCUCUUAAUAUUGUAGAGAUGCCAUGCACUAUUGAUAUUUGAUUCACAAUUACAGCUCUUUAGUGGUUCUAUUUUCACUACCAGGACAAGCACUUUAGCCGACGAAAAAUUUUCAUCGGCCUGUUAGCUUAAUUCGUCGGCUAAGAUUUCGUCGGGAAAAGGUCGUCUGUGAUGACUUUAGCCGACGAAAAAAAAAAUUUCGUCGGCUAUAGUCCUGCAGUUUAGCCGACGAAAAACAUGUCGUCGGUUUUUUUCCCAGACUUUAGCCGACGAAACAAUUAAGAUAUUCGUCGGCUAAAGUCUGUAAUAAAAAUUUUUUUCCCAGACUAUAGCCGACGAAAUAUAGUAUGUUUCGUCGGCUAAACCUUAUAAAAAAAUUUUAAAAAAUAACCAUAGCCGACGAAAUAUGGUCUGUUUCGUCGGCUAAACCUUAUAAAAAAUUUAAAAAAUAACUAUAGCCGACGAAAUAUAGUCUGUUUCGUCGGCUAAACCUUAUAAAAAAAUUUUAAAAAUAACUAUAGCCGACGAAAUAUGCCAUAAUUCGUCGGCUAAACCUUAUAAAAAAAUUUAAAAAUACUAUAGCCGACGAAUAAAUCUUUAAAUAUCGUCGGCCAAACCUUUAAAUAUCGUCGGCUAAAGUUGCUGGUUUUUGAAAAGAAAAACUGCAGAAACUUUCGGCCACCUCCAAUUACCACCAAAAUUUGAUAGAAUCUUCUUCUCAACAUUUCGAACAACUUUCUAGAAGAAGUCGAAUCCCAAUUCUAAGCCUAAACAGGUCAAUUGAAUCAAAAUAUAAAAAUCCCCAAUUUUAAACCCUAAAAACUUCAAAUCUUCGAUUCUCCUCACACAAACCGAAUCGAGCUACCAAAUUCUAGGGGAAUGUAGUACUAAUCAAACUCAACUUAUCCAUAUAUAGAACUCACCAAAUGGUGACCUGAGGAAGGAGAAAUUCGAUCGACACCGAAUCCGAACCGGCGGAGUUUUGGAGCUCGAUUUAUCUCUCACGGCGGCGCCACUAGAUGCACCACCUAUCCAGCAAUGAAGUAGAGACGACGGCGAAGCUUUUGGGACAAGUGUGGCGGUCUCCGGUGACUUGACGGCGGUGCUAGGCUGAGAAGAAAAUCUGGCAGGCGAAAUAGACUUCUUACCAUCCACCUUCGGUAAUAUAAAGAACUUUAGCCGACAAAAUUCUUUAUUUUCGUCGGCUAAACUCUUUUGAAAAUUUUGAAAAUUUUGGUUGACCGCCAAAAAAUUUUGGUUGAAAAUUUUGAAAAUUUUUCGACUUUAGCCGACGACUUUUCAUAUAUUUUCGUCAGCUAAAGUCCUUUGAAAAUUUUCCUCCAAAUUUGGUUUACCGCCCAAAAAUUUUUGACCUUAACCGACGACUUUUUUAAUAUCUCGUUGGCUAAAGUCUAUAAAUUCACGAAAACGCUCAUAUCUCCCUCUAUAUUACGUAGUUUGGUCAAAUCUUCCACACGAAAAACUUUCACGUAGAUGAGACGCAACCGCCUAUAUAAAAAUUUUGAGACAUUUGCCUUUCGACGAUAGGGCUCCCCAUAGGGAAUAAUAACGGUAAAUAGGGUAGACACGUGAUUCCGAUGACUAAAAUUUACAAACCAAAAUUCGACCGUCCGAUAUGAUCAUUAUGACGAAAGAUGUCUAUGGUAAAAAAUUCAACUGGAUUCGACAACGUUAAGGGCUCGAUCGAAACGGUCAACUCUAAUCGGAAAUAAGAAAACUGCAUUUUGAAGCCCUAAACGGACUCGGAUGGCCAAAAAGGCCCAUACAUCAUGGCAUUAGCCAUGAGUUUGACUCGUAGGGCCGUUACGCUUUCGGAAAGGUAUCACAAUAGUCAAUUGGACACCAAAAACCAAAUCUGCAGCAUAGUAAAUAAUAAGGGUAAAUUGCAUUGACCGCAACUAUCGGCACCAAGACUUUACCAGAAUACCGUGAUUUUUCAACUGUAGACGUAUUUCACCAUUCUGGUAAUAUCUUAUUUCACUACUUUUUUGCGUUUGAAGGUUCUACGUAUAGUUUUUUUUUCCCAGAUGAGUUGUUGUCCAGAUCUGCAAAUAUAAGGCACUUUAGCCGACGAAAUUAUAUUUUUCGUCGGCUAAACUUUUAAAAAUUUCGUCGGCUAAAGUUCACAGACUAUAGCCAACGAAAAAAAUUAUUCAGACGACGAAAUUUUAAUUUCGUCGGCUAAAGUUGACCAUAGCCGACUAAAAUUUUUAAUUAGCCGACGAAAAAAUAAUUCGUCGGCCUGGUUUUUUUAUUUUCAUCGGCUAAAGUCUUUCUUCUGGUAGUGUUUAUAAGUUUAGCUGCCUUUAGGGGUGCCAUGGCAUGUAAGUCUUCAGUCUAGGUUGUAUUCGAGACGGGCAGUAACUUUAAGGGAGUCCAAUGUCCAAAGAUAUGUUAAAUCAGUUCUCUUAAUUGUGCAUUUUCAAUGGUGGUUGUUGUUUGAUUACAUUUUGAGAUUUUGAUAAGUGUUUUGUUCUAUUUCAAUAAUUAUGAUUGUGGAAAUAAAAUUGAUUGUGAUUCUUGGGGAGGAGUUAGAGGAUUGAGUAACAGGUGCUUCAAUGAGUGUGUACAAUAGUUGGUGUUGUGUAGGAUGAAAUGAGGGCUGUGUAUUGAUUAAGAUGAAGGGAGUUACUGGAGUUUACUGAAGUAGAGUGAUUACCAAAAGAGUCCUUAAGAACUUGUGUCAGCUUGCUGUUCUCGUCAUUAGUAAAGAACCAAAAAAGAAUUCAGUUAUUAGUUCGUAUUGCUGCAGCCUCAUUGUUGCCCUGUGUAUUGAUUAAGAAUUCAGUUAUGUAGCUAAAUGUCUCCUAGUUAUCAAUGUGCGGUAGCUUUAUUUAGACCAUGUUUUGCUGGAAUCUUGUUUACUGGCUGUCCUUUUAUGUUGUUCUCUUGAUUGCUCUUAUGGUAUCAUGUGUGAUCAUGUUAGUCUCUUAUAUUAUACCUUUAUGACUCCUCUUUGAGUUCGUUCUUCUUAUUUUCUCCUCCAUCCAAUAACCAUAGAAAUCUACAGAAGAGCAAAAUGAUGUCUCUUUAUUACUUGUAACAAAAAAAGAUAAAUGGCGUAUAUAUCUGUUGCUUGAUCCAUUUUUUUUUAUCUCUAGUUUUUGCUAAAAAGAAUAGCUGAUGAGUGAUAUGGUUGGACUAGUAUUUGCAGACUUAUAGGCUAUCACAUAUAUGCUUUGAUCUUACUGAUGAUUUCACAAUCCACUAUUAUUUGGGGAGAAAUAGCAGUACCCACAAACAUCUUUUAUUAGUAAGAUUUACCANNNNNNNNNNNNNNNNNNNNNNNNNNNNNNNNNNNNNNNNNNNNNNNNNNNNNNNNNNNNNNNNNNNNNNNNNNNNNNNNNNNNNNNNNNNNNNNNNNNNNNNNNNNNNNNNNNNNNNNNNNNNNNNNNNNNNNNNNNNNNNNNNNNNNNNNNNNNNNNNNNNNNNNNNNNNNNNNNNNNNNNNNNNNNNNNNNUAUUUAUACUUUCUAUUGCUUUGCUACUGCAAUUAUAUAUUAAUACUAAUAUUUCUUUUCUGUGCUUGAUUAAUACUUCUAUCUAAUGAUCUGAUAUAUGUUUCUCAUAUGUGAUUUGAACUUGAUUUGCUCUAAGAGCUGUGAUAGUUUAUUUGAUGAUUUCAUUAGCAUAUUACAUCUAUCAGUAAUAUAUGUAUAGGUUUCUUUGGUUAUGAUUUUCAGUCAAUUCCAAGGCCUUUGUUUGGUUUCAUUAUUCUCCAGCUUUUAGAGUUAGGUCUGUGUGUUUAAACUUAAGGCAAGAACAAAACUUGCAAAUCUGAAACAUUGUUUCUGAAAUUCUGCAUCAGUUAGCUUUCGUUUGAAAACAGUACAAUUUCAUUUGGAAUUUGAAGUUGGUUUCAUCAAGAGAUUUGUAGUAGACAUCUUAAGGUUCAUUCCAAAUUUUAAAUCACUUGAAAACGAUUUGGAAGAUGAAAUUAUGAUUUUUCAAAGUUUAGGGUCUGCAUCAGGAAAUUCUGCAGACCAGUGUUUCUGAGAUUUUGACCAGUUCCCUUCUUUCAAAAAACUGUAUAAAUUGGUUAGUUGUUUGAACUUGGUGUCUUCAUGAAAGUUUGAGUAGAGACCUUAAUGAUCGUUUUAGAACUGGAAUCUCUUGAAAAUAAGUUUUCUAGAAUUAGUUAUGAUUUUCCAAAGUUACAGCUCAGUUGCAUUUUUUUUUUUUGAAAGUUACAGCUCAGUUUGAGCAUAGCUUAGCAAGUACAUGUCUUGAGGACAACAAUGCAGUCUUAUAUAUCAGCACUUCUUUAUAUUGUAUGUAUAUGAGCAAGUACUUUUUUUGUGUGAUUUAUAUAUUUGUGUUGUUGUAUAUUUAUAUAAUGCAGGUUUUGGAAGCAAAAAAUGUUUAUAAAGAUAAAGAAAAGCAUACUUGUCUACACCCAAGAUGAUUUGGAUGUGUUAAGGAAGGAGUGGGCAAAGUUCAUCAUCAGAAAAUACCUGUAGGGUGCAUGAUCUGGUCUGUUUUGGUGAACUUGGUGCUUUCUAUAUAUAUGUGGUAGUACUUUGCUUUUGAACUUGGUGUUUCUAUAUAUUCGGAACAGCUAUAUGGUAGUACGUACUUUGUGCAUUUCUCAUGUUGGAAUGCUUUUGGACAAGUAAGACUAUCUAGGAGUUUAACUAGUUGUUUGUUUUCAUUUUAUUAUUCAGCUGUAAUAUUGUUUGUGGAAGCUUGAAUGAUAUAUAUGAAAGCUGAAAUGCAAUGUUUUAUGGUAUCAGUCAAUUUGUGCAGCAGUUUCUUUUGUGAUGCUUGUGUGUGUAAAACUUGGACAACAAAGUCUGUCCACAUGAAAAUGCAACUGUUGUAUGAUUCUCAUCAAACAAGAAAGCAGAAUGCUAUAUCUAUUGUGUGAUACAACAGUCCAAAUAUUUCAGUUGUAGGUUAUUCAAUGUCACACAACAGUAAAGAUAGGGAGUAAACCGUUGUAGCUUACUGAAAAACACACAACGAUAGAAAUGAAAACCAACAGUUGUCUGAAAGGGUAAAAAUACAACGAAAAUGUUUUAUUGUUUGUUGUCUGAGUGGACUUGUCGAUGCCGCGCAUGGCAUCGAUCUGCGCAGCGACUUAUACAACGAAAGUAUUGAACUGUUGAGCAAAAUGUGAUCACACAACGGUGAUUUUCACACUUGUCUGAAGAUUCAAUCAGACAAGCCCGAGAUAUACAACGGAAAACCUAUAGUCACCGUUGUGUGUUGACAAAUCUGUAGUAGUGCCAGGCCACAUGAAGAAAAAUUGUUACAAGUUGAAGCAGGAACUCAAAGAAGGGCGAGAAGACGCAACUCAUCAACAAAAGGAGGACACGAACAAUGUUGUUAUUGCAGUGUCUCAUGAUGGGUGUGAGUUCCUAUCCCUCGAAGGUGAAUGUCUACUGGUAGAUCAUCCUGGAGUUCAAUGGAUUGUUGAUUUCAGAGCCUCAUUUCAUGUCACGUUCCACGAAGAGUUAUUCACUACGAACAAAGCAGGUGACUUUGGUAAAGUGAAGAUGGGCAAUGACAUGCAGCUACUCCAAUAUUGCUUGGAUUGGAGAUAUUUGUUUGCAAACGGAUGUGGGCUACCAGUUAAUGUUGAAAGAUGUGAGACAUGUUCCUGGUCUACAUCUCAAUCUUACGUCAACCGGUGUACUUGAUUGACAAGGUUUUUAUCAUCAUGGGGGUGAUGGAAAGUGGAAGCUUACCAAGGGAUCUCUUGUAGUUGCUAGAGAAAAAAUGUGUUGCACGCUCUACAAGACUUAUGUGAAGAUUUCCAAGAAUGAGCUGAAUGCAGUUGAGGAGUCUUCUCCAAGUUUGUGGCAUAGACGUCUUGGCCACAUGAGUGAAAAAGGACUAUAGAUGUUGGCAAAGAAGUCGCUAAUUUCCUGUUGCCAAAGGUAACUCACUAGACUCUUGCGAUUAUUGUUUAUUUGGUAAACAUAAGAAAAUUAGUUUUUCGAAGUCUUUCACGAGGAAAGAAAAUAUUCAAGAUCUUGUACAUUCGGAUAUGUGUGGUCCGAUGGAAGUUGAAUCAUUGAGUAUGCAUAAGUAUUUUGUUACUUAUAUCGAUGAUGUUUCACGAAAGGUUUAGGUUUAUUUGUUGAAAUCCAAAGACCAGUUAUUCCAAACAUUUACAAUUUUCCACGCCAUGGUGGAAAGGGAGACUAGAAGAAAAUUGAAGUGCCUUCGUAUUGACAAUGGCGGAGAGUACACAUCGCAUGAAGUCAGAGAUUAUUGUACAAAGUAUGACAUCAAACAUGAGAAGACGGUUCCUAGAACCCCCUAACAUAACGAUGUAACAGAGUGGAUGAACCGUACCAUUAUGGAGAAAGUCAUAUGCAUGUUGAAGAUGACCAAAAUUGUCAAAAGAAUUUUAGGGAGAAGCUGUGAAGACUGCGUGUUACCUCAUAAACAGAGCACCAUGUGUACCUUUGGAAUUUGAGACUCCAAAUGAAGUUUGGACCGGCAAAGAUGCGUCAUACUCAUAUCUAAGAGUAUUUGAAUGUAAAGCAUUCGCACAUGUAUCCAGGGAGCAGAGAUCAAAGUUGGAUGACAAGGCAUUGCCAUGCAUAUUUGUUGGCUAUGGCAAUGAAGAGUUUGGCUACCGGUUGUGGGAUCCAAAGACGAAGAAAUUCAUAAGAAACAGAGAUGUGGUGUUUCAUGAAAACCAAUCAAUUGCAGAUUUCGAUAAAGAGGCACUACCGAGAAAUGCAGGAAUUGACAGCAGCAUUUAUAAUUCAACGUUGCAGUAGAAAUCUAAUGUUGGGCUACAAGGUGAUAGAGUUGAAGGUGUACCAGACAUGGUUGAUGCUGAAGCCGAAGAUGAGAGGGAGCUUGGGAGCAGCCUGUGAAUAAUCAAGCAGCAAUUCGCAGAAGCACUAGGAGGCCGAUUCCAUCCACAAGUAUCCAUCAUCACAAUAUAUUUUGGUGACUAACGAUGAAGAUGAUCCUUAUGAAAAUUACAUCCUCUUGACCAGUGACGGAGAGCCUGAAAGUUAUGAGGAAGCAAAGAUUCAUCAAAACUACUACAAAAGGAGGCUAGCCAUGGAGUCUGAGAUAGAGUCUUUACUGAAAAACGACACCUACGAGUUGGUGAAGCUUCCGAAAGGCCAGGAAGCACUCAAGAACAAGUGAGUGUUCAAGCUGAAGCCAGAUGAGAAGUACAAGGCUCGUUUAGUUGUCAAAGGAUUCAGGCAGAAAGAAGGAAUCGAUUUUGAUGAGAUUUUCUCACCUGUUGUCAAGAUGACUUCGAUUAGAGUCAUUUUGGGCAUGGCUACGAAUAUGGAUCUUGAGGUGGAGCAAAUGGAUGUGAAGACUGCAUUUCUUCACGGUGAUUUAGAAGAAGAAAUAUACAUAGAGCAACCAGAAGGCUUUGAAGUCAAUAGAAAAGAGCAUAUGAUUUGCAAGUUGAAGAAAAGCUUGUACAGAUUGAAGCAAGCACCAAGACAAUGGUACAAGAAGUUUGACUCCUUUGGGGAGUCAUGGGUACAAGAGAUCGUCAGCUGAUUCGUGUGUGUAUAUUCAACAACCCGUUGUAGGUAAUCUUUUUUCAUCUUACUACUCUAUGGAGAUGAUAUGUUGAUUGUCAGCAAAGAUACUACUAUGAUUCAGCGGUUAAAAACAUAUUUGUCAGAGUCCUUUGAUAUGAAGGAUUUAGGACCAGCCAAGCAGAUUUUGGGCAUGGAAAUUGCCCGUGAUCGAGGGAAUAAGAAAUUGGGGUUAUCACAAGAAAAAUACAUCGAGAAGGUACUAGAGAGGUUCCACAAGGAGAAAGCAAAACCAGUUGCUAUUCCACUUGCCAGUCACAUGAAGCUCAGCUCAAAGCAGAGUCCUACAAGUCAGAAGGAGGAGGAGGAAGAAAUGGCAACAAUGCCAUCUGCCUCAGCAGUAAGGAGCUUGAUGUACGCGAUGGUUUGUACCAGACCAGACAUAACACAUGCAGUUGGUAUUGUUAGUAGAUUCUUAUCUAAUCCAGGCAAGGAGCACUGGAAUGCUGUUACGUGGAUUCUAAGAUACUUGCGGGAAACUUCAAAGAUGAGUGUACGCUUUGGAAAUGGCAAAUAUGAACUAGUUGGCUACACAGAUGCAUAUAUGGCUGGAGAUAUUGACACAAAAAAGUCCAUAUCAAGGUACCUGAUUACAUUUUCAGGAGGAGCUGUCUCAUAACAAUCAAAGCUACAAAAAUGUGUUGUUUUAUCAACUACAGAAGCAGAGUAUAUUACAGCUACGGAAGCAUGCAAAGAAAUUUUGUGGUUGAAGAGAUUCCUACUGGAAUUAGGUCAUUCACAACAAGAGUUUGUCUUGCAUUGUGACAAUCAAAGCGCAAUUCACUUGAGAAAAAAUUUGAGUUUUCACUCGAGGUCAAAGCACAUUGAUGUGUGGUAUCAUUGGAUACAUGAUAUGCGGGAAGCUAAUGAAUUACUGUCAGAACCCACCCCGGAUUUCCCCUUGAAAUCCGGGAUCUGGGAUAAAUCUUGCGGGACCUACCUCAAGGGAAGUUCUACCAAAAUUUUGGCAUAACCUCCCUUAAAAUGGGCGACCCUACCUGAAAAAUUAAUCAAUUUCCAACAAUAUUUCUAAAUAACCAAAUAAUCAACAACUCUUGGAGCCACCCGCUCCCCCAAAUAAACAACCACCACAUCAACAAAAAUAAUAUCUCAACAUCAAAUUCAUAAUUCAACAUCUCAUAAUAAAUUAAUAAUAACUCCAGAUAAAACUUCAAAUCAUCCCUAGAUCGAGUCAUAGACCCUUAACACACAUCCAAAAUAAAUAUAACAUCCCAUGGUUAUCAGAGCAAACUAACAGAAGGAAACAAGAAAAUACACAAGUAGGUUAAACAGGUAACCUACGAAUGAAAACUGGAAGUGAUGAAAAAUAUGACUCGCCUCCUACACUUGUCAAACCGAACUCUGUAGACUGGGCAUUCAAAAACGAAAGGCCCAAGGGAGAAGUAUUUAAAAACAUUAGCAUAAGUGGACAAAAAUAAAUAACAAUAAUAUUAACUUAAUUAUGGAGCAAUGUUAACAAAUAUUAACCAAUGUUUAAUAACAAUAAUAUGGAGCAAAAAUAAAUAACAAUAAUAUUAACUUAAUUAUGGAGCAAAAAUAAUUAACUUAAUAUUAACCAAUGUUUAUGUUUUCCCAAAUUUUCCGUUGAGAAACAUUUAUGCAUGCAACUCUUAAAAUUUUCCAAUAAUAUUUAUAGAUAAAAGUGACGAACAAAUCCCAUUGGUUCAAAUAAAUCAUAAAAAUGGGGAAGAGGUUUCACCAUAACGAUGAGCCUCCCAGGCUAGGGUUGGAGCCUCCCAGACUCUGGUAGCGUCCCACGCUAAGCGCUUGACUCACCUAUAGUGAGGACCGCUAAUAAAAGCUAGCUAACAAUAAAUAAAACCGAUCGGUGCCUCCCAGGCUGUAGUAGCGUCUCACGCUAAGCGCUCGACUCACCUACGGUGAGGACCACUAAUAAAAGCUAGCUAGCUAGCAAUAAUAAAUAUAUAUAUCAACCCUUUUAUGGUGAAGUAAAAUGCUAAAAAAAUAAGGACAACACUUUCCCAAAAUAUAGUAAAUCAAUGUUCCCAACUGUAAUUAGAAAUAUUACGUACAUAAUAAUCAUGGAUGCAGUAAUAAUAUAAACCACUAGACCUAGACAUGUCCCACAUGUCAAAUAAAAUUAGUAAAAGUUCUAGAAAGCAAAUGAACUCAUUAAUCCAAAGAAUAUAAUAAAACUCUAAUAUGCCUUUGCAAUUAAGAAAACUUUAGCGCAUGCAUGAUGUCAAAAUCAAAAGUCCAUUCACUGUGCUCGGCUAUGCCUGCUGACGAUCCGAGGCAUCCUCCAAAUGAUCCUCCUCACGUCCUGACCAGUAGAUAAUAUUAAAUCUCUAGAUUAAAUCGAUAAUUUAAUAAAAAUACAAGAAUACAAGUGAGCCUAAAAUUUCUUCGCCCUUGCCCAACUUCACCAUACUUGAUACCUUAAGACCCAAACUUCACCACAAGCAUCGACAGCCUUAAAAAAAAAAUUCUAAAGUUUAAUCCAUGCUAAUCAAACGGCCGGAUUCUAUUCUAUCACUCGCCAAGUUCACCAAUCUUUGAAAAAUUCCAAACCUAACCAAAACUCCUUCAAAAAUUGCAAACUUCACACCAAAGGACUCCUCUCAACAUAACAAAUUUAAUAACAUGAAAAACUACCCAAAACAGGCGGCGUCGUCGUCUGCUUCGCCGGCAGCAACGGCCGGCUAGCCCCGACUCUGGUCACCUCCAAUGUCACAUCCCGACCCUUAUAUUUUUACCUUAUUUACUAGCGUGAUUAUAAUAAGAAUUUUACCGUCUCGAUCAUUGAGUAAAUAGUUUAAUUGGUCCCUAGAGGGGUUUCGGGGACGAUUAUGUGCGGAGGAUUAUUCGUAUGAGGAAAAUACAACGACGGUAAAAAUAGUAAAUUUUAGCUAGAAAAAGUUAAUUUUUAUUCGGGUAUUAUUUUUCGGGGGUUGUUUUUAUUUUUGGAAGUUUGGGUUAUAAAUGGUGUGGACCGGUUUGGGGUGUGAGGCCCAAACCCUUUUUCUUUUCUCUCUCCCUCCCUCCCGAUUUUUCUUCUCCUCCCACCCGAUUUUCUUCUCUCUACACCCACCGGUAUUCCGGCCGUCCUCCCGCCGCCGUCCGNNNNNNNNNNNNNNNNNNNNNNNNNNNNNNNNNNNNNNNNNNNNNNNNNNNNNNNNNNNNNNNNNNNNNNNNNNNNNNNNNNNNNNNNNNNNNNNNNNNNNNNNNNNNNNNNNNNNNNNNNNNNNNNNNNNNNNNNNNNNNNNNNNNNNNNNNNNNNNNNNNNNNNNNNNNNNNNNNNNNNNNNNNNNNNNNNNNNNNNNNNNNNNNNNNNNNNNNNNNNNNNNNNNNNNNNNNNNNNNNNNNNNNNNNNNNNNNNNNNNNNNNNNNNNNNNNNNNNNNNNNNNNNNNNNNNNNNNNNNNNNNNNNNNNNNNNNNNNNNNNNNNNNNNNNNNNNNNNNNNNNNNNNNNNNNNNNNNNNNNNNNNNNNNNNNNNNNNNNNNNNNNNNNNNNNNNNNNNNNNNNNNNNNNNNNNNNNNNNNNNNNNNNNNNNNNNNNNNNNNNNNNNNNNNNNNNNNNNNNNNNNNNNNNNNNNNNNNNNNNNNNNNNNNNNNNNNNNNNNNNNNNNNNNNNNNNNNNNNNNNNNNNNNNNNNNNNNNNNNNNNNNNNNNNNNNNNNNNNNNNNNNNNNNNNNNNNNNNNNNNNNNNNNNNNNNNNNNNNNNNNNNNNNNNNNNNNNNNNNNNNNNNNNNNNNNNNNNNNNNNNNNNNNNNNNNNNNNNNNNNNNNNNNNNNNNNNNNNNNNNNNNNNNNNNNNNNNNNNNNNNNNNNNNNNNNNNNNNNNNNNNNNNNNNNNNNNNNNNNNNNNNNNNNNNNNNNNNNNNNNNNNNNNNNNNNNNNNNNNNNNNNNNNNNNNNNNNNNNNNNNNNNNNNNNNNNNNNNNNNNNNNNNNNNNNNNNNNNNNNNNNNNNNNNNNNNNNNNNNNNNNNNNNNNNNNNNNNNNNNNNNNNNNNNNNNNNNNNNNNNNNNNNNNNNNNNNNNNNNNNNNNNNNNNNNNNNNNNNNNNNNNNNNNNNNNNNNNNNNNNNNNNNNNNNNNNNNNNNNNNNNNNNNNNNNNNNNNNNNNNNNNNNNNNNNNNNNNNNNNNNNNNNNNNNNNNNNNNNNNNNNNNNNNNNNNNNNNNNNNNNNNNNNNNNNNNNNNNNNNNNNNNNNNNNNNNNNNNNNNNNNNNNNNNNNNNNNNNNNNNNNNNNNNNNNNNNNNNNNNNNNNNNNNNNNNNNNNNNNNNNNNNNNNNNNNNNNNNNNNNNNNNNNNNNNNNNNNNNNNNNNNNNNNNNNNNNNNNNNNNNNNNNNNNNNNNNNNNNNNNNNNNNNNNNNNNNNNNNNNNNNNNNNNNNNNNNNNNNNNNNNNNNNNNNNNNNNNNNNNNNNNNNNNNNNNNNNNNNNNNNNNNNNNNNNNNNNNNNNNNNNNNNNNNNNNNNNNNNNNNNNNNNNNNNNNNNNNNNNNNNNNNNNNNNNNNNNNNNNNNNNNNNNNNNNNNNNNNNNNNNNNNNNNNNNNNNNNNNNNNNNNNNNNNNNNNNNNNNNNNNNNNNNNNNNNNNNNNNNNNNNNNNNNNNNNNNNNNNNNNNNNNNNNNNNNNNNNNNNNNNNNNNNNNNNNNNNNNNNNNNNNNNNNNNNNNNNNNNNNNNNNNNNNNNNNNNNNNNNNNNNNNNNNNNNNNNNNNNNNNNNNNNNNNNNNNNNNNNNNNNNNNNNNNNNNNNNNNNNNNNNNNNNNNNNNNNNNNNNNNNNNNNNNNNNNNNNNNNNNNNNNNNNNNNNNNNNNNNNNNNNNNNNNNNNNNNNNNNNNNNNNNNNNNNNNNNNNNNNNNNNNNNNNNNNNNNNNNNNNNNNNNNNNNNNNNNNNNNNNNNNNNNNNNNNNNNNNNNNNNNNNNNNNNNNNNNNNNNNNNNNNNNNNNNNNNNNNNNNNNNNNNNNNNNNNNNNNNNNNNNNNNNNNNNNNNNNNNNNNNNNNNNNNNNNNNNNNNNNNNNNNNNNNNNNNNNNNNNNNNNNNNNNNNNNNNNNNNNNNNNNNNNNNNNNNNNNNNNNNNNNNNNNNNNNNNNNNNNNNNNNNNNNNNNNNNNNNNNNNNNNNNNNNNNNNNNNNNNNNNNNNNNNNNNNNNNNNNNNNNNNNNNNNNNNNNNNNNNNNNNNNNNNUAUUAAAUGUUUUCCCCUGGGCCCUUCGUUUUAAAUUGCCCAGUCUGCAGAGUUCGGGGUUGGAUCUAGUAGGAGACGAGGCAUAGUCACCCGCUUUUCGGCCAGUUUUCAUCAGUAGGUUACCUGUUCAACCUACUCGUGUUUUCUUGCUUCCGCUUGUGUUUAGUAGCUCUGAAUACUUUAGAAUUUUUGUAUAUUAUGUGAUAUUCAGAAGCGUUAAAUUAAGAGUGUAAUAUGAAAUUUUCGACUUAGGGUUGUCCAUCUGCAAGGGAGAUUUGCUUAAUCUUUUCAGUAAAUUUUCCUUGGAGGUGGUCCCCGCACGACUUACUCUGGGUUUCAGGGUGAAAUUCGGGGUGGGUCGUGUCAUCCAAUGCUCACCAAAAUUUGACACAAUCUUUCCUCUCAACACGCACAACAACUUUCUUAACUAACACAAAGUCCGAUUUCAAGCCUAACUAGGGUAAUCAAAGCCAAACAGUAAAAAUCUCAAUUUUAAACCCUAGAAUUUCAAAUGCUUGAUUCUCCUUACCUAGAUUGAGAUAGAUUGAAACCUUUUUGAGGUUUUGUUGUAUAGGAUGAGAGCUUCCAAACGAGACAAGCAGCUCCGACUAUGGUGGCCAGAAAAGGGAGUUCCGACGACAACUCCGCCACGCACAGCCGUACCUUCUCAGCGUGAUUCCUCCCUCACGGCAGCGCAACACGACCAGCCACCUACCUAGACUUGAAGAGGAUGUUCCAACCUUCAAUUUGAUACCUAGCUCACCACCUAACUCGGCCGGACGGCGGUGAUGAAGUCUAAAGGAGGAGAGAGACGCGGGAGAGAGGGGAGAGAGAGAGAGAGAGUGAAAUCUGAUUUUCUACCUUACCUCAAAUGGUAAGUUUCCAUUUUUAUACCCCCUGACCAAAAUAGUAACUUUACAUUUUACACAAUAACUAUUGCAUACGAACUCCGAUUUUAACGUAUAGCAUGUCUACAGAUUCAUAUUAACGUCCUUUACGACAUCAUUAAAGAAAUUUUCCCAAAAUAAUUUUCCUACAAAAAGUCAACUCUAAGGGUCCUUUAACAGUAAACGGUUACUCAAAAUGGUAAAAGGUCAAAGUAACACAAAAGUAAAUAACCGUAAAUUAACUUAAGAUCCAAGAUGUCACAAUUACUGCUAAAGAAUAUUCAUACAGACAAUAACAGUUCGGAUUUGAUGACGAAGUCUCUACCAAAAGAGAAGUUUGACUUCUGCAUAAGUGCAUCAAGAAUGAAGCAUCCCUCCAAUUAAGUUGGGAGGGGGAGAUUGAUGGGUCAAAUUUCUCUCCUCAUUUGGAAGAGGAUGUCAUAUAGUUUACUACAUGUGAAAAACCUUUCGGUGAAGCCUUAAGACCCAUUCAAUUAACCAAGAGGUAAGAUGUUAUAUGAAUAGCAAAGUUGGUGCUGUGUAUAUGUUGAUAUACAUGAGAGAGCCUAUAGGUAUAGGCUCGUGGAUGGCUGAAAUGUUUGACAAAAAGAAUAGAGAUGCAUUGAUGGUGCAUACAAACAUUGAAGCUUGAAUUAAAGAAGAAGUUUGAAUUCUCUUCCUCAUGCAUGGACGUGAAGGAUUUGCAUGGGAAAUGCAUGAAGAAGUUUGCCUAUAUAAAGGCAUGAGCAAUGGUGCAAUUGAUAUACCGGUGAGUUCAUCUUGUGUUAUACAAGAGUGUGUGAGAUAGAGAGAAAACUCCAAGUCGAGAGUUGUGUGUAUAGCAAAACAAAGUGAUGAGAGUGUGAGAGUGUAUCCCUUCAAGUGUAAGUCUUGAAGUAGUGUUUCUCUCACUGUAACCUUUAUUCAUAUAAUAGAUAUUUUUUGUUGUUGUUGUCCCGUAGACGUAGACACUUUGUCUUGCCGAACCAAGUUAAUUCUCGGUGUUCUUAUCAUUUUAUUUCCGUUACAUUUUACAUUUGUGGUUAUGAGUUUCUGAUUCCAUUUUACAGAUUAUUUUUCGCAAUAACCCAACAUGGUAACCUUAGUCGUUUGAAAGGCUCAGGGACACCGAAACCUGGAGGAUCCCUGAUAAUUCCAGGAAAACCAGGUGCGAAUGGAAUUGGCUCACUCCUCAUUGGGAUGAAACCAAGCAUAUUAUGAUCUCUCCACAUCACCAAUGCCUUCUUCUGUUGCUCCCUAUCCUCCCACUUCCCAGCAAAUCGAAACUUCCAGUUACAUGUUCCUCCUGCUCCCGACCCAAACUCCUCCAGAAACUUCUGCUUCCACAGCUCAUCAUUAUUAGCUAGAUUUUGUAGUUCCUUUCACAGUUCUUUGCUUCACCAUUCUUGUUUCUUAAUUUGCUUCGCUAGCUAUUGAGUGUAUACGUUGUUGGUUUGGUACUAUCGAUCAACCAUUAUGUUUGGACGUCAAUUGGGACAGGAGUGUCGUGGCCCCCAACAGCAAUUUCAAAUUUCCCCUUCAAUUAUAGUUUAAUUGCAUAUAAUUAUGUAUUCAUUCCAAGAAUUUGGUAUAUAUUAGCCCUUUCAGAAAUUUUGGCCUCCCCAGAAUUUUGUUCGAAGUUCCGCCAUUGACGUUGGUGUUAGGUCCAAGCCUUAAUACCAACAGCUGAACCCUAAAGACAGGUACCAUCUAUUGCAAAACCACCAUAUGUACGUUAGCAAAACCACCAUAUAUACUUUAGCAAAAUAAAAACACACAUCAAAUCGCACAGUUUUAGUUUAUUACAUAACCACAUUUUCUUUGUGAAAGAAUUUUUAACAAUGAGAUAGCUCCUCAAUCAACAUCAGCUAGCGAUGAACCAGAGAUCCAAUGAACUCUUCAAUGUUCUUGUUAGAGCUUCCAUCUUCAUGCACAGCCUUUCUAGCCGAUUCUUUCAAUGCUAUAGCAUUUCACUGUAUUUCUUUUCCCCUCUGUCCCUCCAAUAUUUCACUUACACAAUGCUCUACUUCUUGCCUCACAAUCCCUUUCUCAUCAACUUGAGCUUUGAUCCCAAUUUUCCACACAUCCAUAAUGUACUUGGCAUUGGUGCUUUGGUCAGUCCAUCGAGGCAUUGCAACCAUUGGAACCCCCAAACUCAAAGCCUCCAAUGUGGAGUUCCAACCGCAAUGCGUAAUGAAGCAACCAACUGCUUCAUGAGCUAAAACCUCCAAUUGGGGACACCAGGAAACCACCAAACCCUUUGCAGAUGUCUCCUCGACAAACCAUUUCGGUACCUUUCUUGCUUCUGAUUCUCUAAUAACCCACAAGAAUUUUCUUUUGCUACUCCUCUAUCCAAAAGCCAGUUCCUCCAUUUGCUUAGCUUCAAUUUCUGCUCGGCUGCCAAACGACACAUAAACUAUAGACCCCUUGGUCUGUUCAUUGGGCCAUUUCAUGCAGGCAUCACUCUUUGGUUUAAACAUGUUGAAACCAUAGUCUUUAUCAUCUUUAAGACGCCUAUCCAAGUAAUGGGAUGGUAUAGUUGGUCCAAUGGCAUUCAUUGGCCAAACCUUUCCCAUCCAAUCAACCGCCUAUAUAUGAAGAGCAAUAUUGAUCGAUUAAGACUACAUAGUUCAUGAUAAAAAUUAAUCAAUCUAGUAAUGUACGUGGUAUACACAAUGUCUACAAAGAUGCCAUAUGAAUGAUACAGAAUGUGUGCAAAGAUGCAUAUGGUCUAGGCAACAUUGAUCAUUAGCUUAUGAAACUCCAAAUCAUAUGAAAGCCAAAAAGUGACUGAAACAAGGGAAAUAAUUCAUAUAUACUUGCUCUUCCAACUCAUAAAAUGUAUUGCGGAGGACCCAAUCAGCCUUGUCAACAUUGCAGAAGUGAUCCACAACAACCAGUUUAUAGGCGGCCGGGUAAGACCCGAAAUCAGAUAGAAAGGAUGGCAGGUCUGAGGGCUUAAGUGUCAACAACCCCGGAAGCGAUAUUUCAAACUCAACAACAGGCAGUUUCAGCAAUCCAUUCUUCACGUGGUAGUAGAUGGUGUUUACAGCACAAGACUGUGUGAAGAAGAUAGCCCCAAGAAUACCAAAUUUCUUGGCAAUAUCCAGAGGCCAAGACAAGAAUGCAUCAUAAACAAUACAAUCAACUGGUAACCCUGAGCUUGAAAGCUUCUCAAGAAGCUCAGCCAAAGUUUGUGACCCUGAUUUCUUCAGGCUCUCCAAAUAGACAUCUAUGCUUCCUGCUUCUGCUCUCCCACCUUGAUCAUAACCAUCAGAGAUCGUCUCCAAUGGAACAUGACUAGACCCUGACCUGUGCAUUGUCUUGCAUAAAAAGCGAGUGGUAACUAGUGUCACUUUGACUCCUUUAUGCUCUAAGAGCUUAGAGAAUUGGAGCAUGGGAUUGAUAUGGCCUUGGUUAGGAUAGUGUAAGACCAAGCAGUGAGCUCUGUAGGCUCUUUGUUGACCCUUCUCCAUUUCUCUAUCUAUGUCUUGCAUAGGCAAGCCACAACAAUGCAGUUUAUAUAUACUAAUGAAGAAUGAAUAUGAUGAACACACAACUACUGAACCAAGUGAUGAAACUCAGUACGUCUCUUAGUCAAUUGGACAUGAAUUUCCAAAGAUGAAUGUUUUUAUAUUUAGGGAAGGUGGAAUAUGAGGGUAAUCUAAAAAGAACACUAGGGUAGAACCCAAAUGCAAGUGUUCAACCACAAGAGUUGGAAAUCCAUAAUAAAAAAAGGAAAACUGUUGCAGGAAAAGUAUGGUAUAAUCCAGAGGGACCCUGAGGUUUUGUUUACUACAUAAAAGUAACAUAGAAUGAAAAUUGAACGGGCCAUUUUAGUUCGUAAUUCAAAAACAUUAGUCUGGGUAAACAACACACACCUCUUUUCAAUAACAACAGUAUGUCUUGGACUCUUGGACAUACAUAAUCAAUUUUGGGUAAAAUAUUGUAUAGUCCUUCUAAUUUGAAGUCGACAUUUGUUUAGUCCUUAUGAUUUUAUUUUAAUCUGAGUAGUACUUAAAGUCAUGAUUUUUCAUCUAAAUAGUCCUUAUAGUUUUAUUUUAAUAUGAAUAGUCCUUAAAGUCAUGAUUUUUCAUUCAAAUAGUCUUUAUGGCCUUUAACUGAGAAAAUUGUCGGAAUGACUAUUUGGAUGAAAAAUCAUGACUUUAAGAGUACUAUUCAGAUUAAAAUAAAACCAUAAGGACUAUUUGGAUGAAAAAUUGUGACUUUAAAGACUAUUCAGAUUAAAAUAAAACCGCAAAGACUAAACAGAUGUCAACUUCAAAUCACAAGGAUUAAACAAAUUUCAAUUUAUUAAUUUUCUUAUCAAUUCUGAAUCCCCCUAAAUCAUGACAAUAAAAAUAUCAGUUACCAUAAUCAACUAUUAAACUAAUUAAGGCAAAAUAAUACGAAGGGUAUACCAACAUUAGGCAUUCAGGCAGGCAUCAUUUUCAUAAGAAACUGGUUCUUUCCCAAGUAAUGUUACAAAACUAGCAAGUGCAGAUGCCCCAUCAAUAUUACUAGUGUGUAAUGAAGCACCCAACAGCCUCAUGAACCAAAACCUCUAGUUGGGAGAGCCAUGAAAGUUGAAUCAAGAUGAACUGUACAAUCAGGAUUCAGGAACCAAGAUGAAGUGCACUGUCAUCCGACGAAAGCGUAAUGGUCAAAAUGCUAUAAUAAUUUCUCAAUAAUGUGAAGUUGCAAGCCAAGUCUCUAUACGUCUCUUUGUUGCAUUAUGACUAAAAACAAUGUUUGGGAAUUGAAUGUAAAGGCUAACGAAAGGCUCGGCUAUACAUAAAACUUCCGGGUUGUGAGCCCGUACAAACUGUUUCAAAGCAUCUUGAGUGGGGACAUUAGCAAUGCCCCGUAGGUUCCAAUAAAGAACCCUCAUUUAGGAGUGUCUUUGGAGCGACGGAGAUAGGCUUCCCUAUUCUCCUUAGAAGCCGCCUUUCUCUUUUGAGACCUGGACAUAACGACAGUAAAACCAUCACCAAUGUUAACUCGUUCUGUCUCCUCGUACCAGCUAUCAACACGAGUUACUGAAUUUGCAACAACAGCAACCCCAAUGUCAGAAGACUGCUCAUGCAUACUACCACCUGCAGAGUCAUCAUCUUCACUAUUCUGCUCGUUCUGAUCAAUAGCAUACCUAGUAUCAUCAUCCUGCUCAACAUUAGCUAUUGGUUCCAAAGCCACAUUCACCCUCGGCUCAACCACUUCAACAGGUUCCACCACUUCUUGGAUGACAGGUUCCAUUACUUGCGGUUCCGGCAAAACACUAGAUAUCACUAGUUGGCCGACCGGUGCUGGAGACUUCUGCACAAAGGAAGGACCCUCACCAAAAUCUUCCCUGGGGGUUGGAGUUGAAUCAAUAAUCAUGCUCUUACCUCGAUCCGAUGUAUUAGAUGGGUUUUUAGGCACAUACACUUUGGAGACUCGAUGCUGAUCACGGUUCUUGCGAGACCGUCUACUACGCUUGCGGGAUCGACCUCUGCCUUUCUCAGUCUCAUUAUCCAUUGGAACAGAGUCAGAAGAUCUAUGCACAUACUUGCAAGCUGUAACAAGGUGCCCAACGUCACCACAAUGAGCACAUAUAUCUGGAAGCUUUUCAUAGUCCACAGUCUGAACAGAUGACGAACCACACUUACGCUUGACAACCAAUUCUUGCGGUGGAACAACAAAGAGAUCAAUAUCAACCAAUAUUCUAGCAAAGAGACCCACCCUUCUCUCCCUUGUGUUGGCAUCAACUUUAACAGGAACUCCAAUACCAUUAGCAAUUUCAAAUAGGGUUCUAGGUUCCCAAAACUCAAGACCUAGAUCCCAAAACCUCACCCACACCUGAGCAUUCCUAUUACGUUGGUUCGCUGGGGAGAAAUUUGGAACCCAUCGCAUGAAACGCAAGAAGCCAGGCUUGAGAGCAAUUGCACCCUUUACCCAGACUGUAGAGAGAUCCUCAUCCGUAGAGAAGCUAAACGUGAAAUAGCCUUUUCCCAUGGGAAUAACCUUCCAAGCCCCCAGACUUCCCCAGAGAAGAGAAAGCUUAUGAGACAGAUCUGAUGCAGAGUAGGGUUUAUCCUUCAAACCCAAUUGCACCCUUCUGAUUACCAUAUGUUUACAAUUAUCCAAACCAGAUUGAUAGCCCUCUUCUGAAAUAGUAAUAGUUGUCUUGCCAUCUAAAAUCUCAGGAAUAGGCAGAUCAUCAAUUGGGAUGGAAGCUUGCGCCGCCGCCGCCGCAUAAGAUUUCGUCGGCUUCGCAGCCCCUUCGUCGAGAAAAGACCACGGGCAUAUGGGAUGACGCUGAACAGCCAUGACGUCGUGAAGCAAACGGAACUCGAAUUCAAGGUUUUACUACAGGGAGGCUCCAGCACGGGGAAACCCUAGCAGAGCCAUCCUUAUUCAAACAAAAAAUGCAGGGAGGUGCAUGCUAUAAUAUACAGUGUACAAUAGUAAACAUGUUCUAAAUUAUUAUUGAGAAAGGCAUAUGAAUGCAAACAAACAUUGUACCCCACGGAUCGUAGUCGAUCAAGUCCAUAUGUUUUAAAACAAAACUUCAUUUUCAAGAAAACGAUUUCACAAUUUUACGAUAAAUGAACUAUAAGACAAAUAUGGUUCCAUUAUGAACCAAGUGAGAUUUACUCACCUUUAACUCCCGCUGCAUCUUCACACACAACAAGAACAAGCACAACUCUCACUUCGUCAAUCACCUAGAUAACACAAUUCGACUUAGUGACCAAACAAAACAAGUGAUUACCAUUUACAUCAACUAGUUAUUAUAACUUAACCCGGAGAAUUGCCACAUCGAGGCAAUCCUCUUAUGAGACCUCCCAAGGUCACCGGAACCCCAUGAACAGCCUUUACAUUCAAAUUCCAUAAACCGAAACCGAAAGGAAACGAAUUCCGGAAAAGCCCUAACAUGCUCAAGCAACUCCGAAACCUACAAUCUGCAUGUUCACUUGCUCGUAUCGAUGAGUAAAAGCUUACAAUUACCACAGACCUCCCAACCUCUGCUGGACGCGCCACCACAGAUGGCGGCGAGUGGGCCCCACGCGCAGUCCCUACAACCUCAAAAUCUGGGCAAUCUCCCAACAACAAACUUGUAGAUCACAUCAAAUGGAACACUUUCCAUUCCUGUGGCCAAAGCUAAUUCAGCUAGAAAAAGGCCGGAAACGUCACCGGAAAGAAAUAAGAUGCACUUCGAAGCCAAAAGCUCCACGCUUCGAAUUAGGUUCCAAGGCUGGUAUCAUCAUGCUCAUAAGGUUAAGAACUUCCAGAAACGAGUAGCCUCAACCCUCAAUGUCGUCGGAAUCGAUUGGAGCUUCACCACCAAUAAAGGCAGUAACUUGCGUGCGUUGCUGCAUUGUGCACAGUGAUCCAUAGGGUGUGAGGCUAGUAUGAAUAGAAAGACGGGAGUGAGAGCUUUCCAACAAUACCAAGCACGCACAAAUCCAUCACCGGACGGCCGAGUUGUGGCCGAAAGAAGUUUGACGGCGAAAAUGGAGAAGGGAGAGAGAAAAAUCUGAUUUUUUUUAAGUUAGGGUUUUUUGAAAAUACCCAAAAAAUUCCUAUUUAUACCCCUUCCCAAAAACUUUGACUGACCAUAACUUCCUCACACGAUGUCCGUUUUUCCCAUGCCACGUGCCCACGAACUCGUAUCGCCGUGCUCUAUAACUUUGGAGAAGGAAGUUUUAUGAGAAACCCAACUGAUAAAAAAUCAACUCUUUGCCCCUUCGGAUAAAUACUCUUCUAGCCAAUAAUCAUUCUGAACACUCCCACUCUUCUCUCGAGCCACGAAUCCCAUUAACUUCUAACUUGAUAAAUUCCAAAAAAAUAAUAGAAAUUAGUAACAAAAACUCGGGGUAUUACGUUCUACCCUCCUUAAAGAAAUUUCGUCCCCGAAAUUUAAACGUGCUAGUCCACCACAAGUGUUGCUAACUCCCCCUCCAAAAUUAGGUUCACAAUCCCCAACAAUUACUCUAGUCCUGAUGCGUCCACAAGCCAUUCAAGUUCCCUCACUAUAUUGUCAUACCACUUCAUAGGAAAACAACGGAACAUUACCCAUGAACUUAACUACCCGGACUACGUUGUCCAAUACUCAUUAGAAGCAACAAUCGACUUGACACCUAGAAGACCAACGCAAUACACCACACUGUCCCCUCUAGACUUCUCGUGAAACACGGCUCUGCAUACUACUCUUACCACUACGCCACUAAGAAUAACAAAACACACGGACUAAAUGAAAAUGUAUGUGAACUCAGUUCAAAACAAUAUCUGCAUCAUGUUGUCGUUCUUCAACUAUAACUCCAUAAGUUUUCAAAAAAAAAUUAUCACUCAAUAGAAAUCAAAACUUUUACACUUCCUAAGUUAAUAAAUCACGAAGUCAUCAAAUCCACACAAAUCCUUCAUACAGGUAUAGAAUAUGCAUCAUCACUCAAUAACUGUUAAACCACUUCAUAACAAAAAACCAUUAAGGUCAAAUCUCAACCAAUUCAUAAGGUGACCUCGAUUUCUAUAAAACAAUACUACAAAAAGGGCUCAUUCAAACGUCAACAACCAUUUCUAAACUCAUGAUCAGCUAAGACCAAGCCUCGAUCGAUCAACACAUAAAUCAUAAUAUCGUAUCACACAAGCAAAAAUAAUCAGAGUGGUAAGGAAUCUCUACCACCCAUUGAAGAAAGACGUAUCAACCAAGAUAACAAAACAACGACACACUGCAACAUAUUGUCAACAACAGGGGUUUAACCAUGCACCUUAGGCAAAACCCAACGACCACUCUCAGCAACUGCCUUUGUCAUUUCUCGAGAUCCCUAUAGUCGCCCUCGCUCUUUGAGAAACCUGAAACUCCUGCUUGAAACUCAAGGACCUAGUUAAGACAAGUACCACAAUAAGUAGCAAACAAGGAGCCCCUCCGAUCAUUUGAUUCGAUCCCCGUUAAACCUUUUGAGUCAAGGACCCUAGGUUCCAUAGGGGCAACAAACCGACACAAAUAUGAGAAUCCGGGUCUCGUAGUCAUGAUACUCAUAGUCCCCUAAGCUAGAGUGACAAAUUACAUCCUCGACCUUCCCUGAUCAACCUAGAUAGAUAUGUAGCAUUCACUCCCCCAACAACAGACAAAGCACGUGGUACUUCCCUUCAUCCCUAAGAUAGAAUUCUCUCUAAGGGAGAAUCAUUUCCCAACUCCCCAAUCUGACCCCUGUGAGGAUCUGUUACUUGUUGAGUAACCAACGAUGGGUUCACUUGAAUAAACUUAAACACAAGUUUAAAUCACACACAACAGACAAACUAACAACUAACCACGACAUCAAUACAAGAAAGAUAGACUUCCACAAUCAAAUCUGUGAAGCCAAAUAAGAGUUUCAAUUUAGAGGUUCUUAUUCCUCAUAAGACUAAAACUCAAAACAUGUCACUCAAAUCCCACACACUUUACCUACUGAGCCAACCUAUGCUCUGACGACCUAACGCUCAAGACAACACCUUAGACUCUCGCAUACCCAAUGACAUAUCAGUACCAAGGAGUAUGAUGGGGAUCCGCUGCAGUCGGACCAUCACUCAAAAGAUAUUGAUUAUCACCAAAUAUGCAACCCUAAGCUCUGAUAUCAAAACUGUCACACCCCGAAUUUUGACUAAAAAAAAAAACAAUUUCGAGAGUGCAAUAACUCAAAACAAAGUCAAAUAUUACAUCAUUAUAGUUUUACAACUUGUGAAUAUAAUUUGAACAAUGUAAACCUCAUUCAAUACUCACAACAAUCUAGAAAGUAAACAAAAAGAUUAAUGCCUAAUUGCCGCAGCCUCAACUCUGUUAAUCCUGAGCUGCAAAAUCAACCUCUCUACACCAUGAAUUGGUGCACCGGAUUGUAAACAACGAACCCGAUAAGCUUUAAAAGCUCGUAUGAGUAACUCUAACUUAAAGAACUCAACCCAAAAUCACAUAAGGUAAAACUGGUAAUUCCUGGAUUAAAAACUUAGUUCAGGAAAUCACCUAAAAGCAAGAGAAUUCAAAAUAAAGUAAAUAAGAAAUCACGACAAUUCAAAAUCAAUCAAAAUCAUAAUCGAAUCAUGCAAAAAGUGUAGUUCAGGAAUUCCGCUAAAAUCACACAAUUAAGAUUAAAGAGUCUCCUGCGGAAAAACAUAGUUCAAGAGAUACUCAAAGCAAGGAAUUUAAAUGACAACACGUAAGAAAAUCACACAAUCAUUUCUCCACCCUUACUUAUGAGUUCGGCAACACUUAGUCAUCCUCCAUAAGUAACUAGGCAAACACAUACUCAUGGGUUCAUCAACACUUAGUCAUCUCUCAUGAAGUAUCGAUAGACAGACUAGAGCGAUUUGCAGGCCUUGUUGCAUUGUGCACAGUGAUCCAUAGGGUGUGAGGCUGGUAUAAAUAGAAAGAGGGGAGUGAGAGCUUUCCAACGAUACCAAGCACGCACAAAUCUAUCGCAGGACGGCCGAGUUGUGGCCGGAAGAAGUUUGGCGGAGAAAAUGGAGAAGGGAGAGAGAAAAAUCUGAUUUUUUCUAAAGUUAAGGUUUUUCUGAAAAUACCCAAAUUUUUCCUAUUUAUACCCCUUCCCAAAAACUUUGAUUAACCAUAACUUCCUCACACGAUGUCCGUUUUUCUCAUGCCACGUGUCCACAAACUCAUAUCAUUGUGCUUUAUAACUUUGGAUAAGGAAGUUUUACGAGAAACCCAAGGGAUAAAAAGUCAACUUUUUGACCCUUCAGAUAAAUCCUCUUCUAGCCAAUAAUCAUUCUGAACACUCCCGCUCUUUUCUCAAGCCACGAAUCCCGCUAACUUCUAACUUGAUAAUUUUCAAAAUAAUAAUAGAAAUUAGUAACAAAAACUCGGGGUAUUACAAGCUGUGAAGACUGCGUGUUACCUCAUCAACAGAGCACCAUGUGUAUCUCUGGAAUUUGAGACUCCAAAUGGAGUUCGGACUGGCAAAGAUGCAUCAUACUUGCAUUGUAAAGCAUUCACACAUGUAUCCAGGGAGCAGAGAUCAAAGCUAGAUGACAAGGCGUUGCCAUGCAUAUUUGUUGGCUAUGGCGAUGAAGAGUUUGGCUACCAAUUGUGGGAUCCAAAGACGAAGAAAUUCAUAAGAAACAGAGAUGUGGUGUUUCAUGAAAACCAAUCAAUUGCAGAUUUCGAUAAGGAGGUACUAUCGAGAAAUGCAACAACUGACAGCCGCAUUUAUGAUUCACCGUUGCAACAGGAAUCUAAUGUUGGGCUACAAGGUGAUAAAGUUGAAGGUGUACCAGACAUGGUCGAUGCUGAAGUCGAAGAUGAGGGAGAGCUUGAUCAGGGGGAGCAUCAUGUGAAUAAUCAAGCAGCAGUCCGCAGAAGCACCAGGAGGCCGAUUCCAUCCAACAACUAUCCAUCGUCACAAUAUAUUUUGGUGACUAACGGUGGAGAUGAUCCUUAUGUUAUGAAAAUUACAUCCUCUUGACCAGUGACGGAGAGCCUGAAAGUUAUGAGGAAGCAAAGAUUCAUCAAGACCAGGACAAAUAGAGGCUAGCCAUGGAGUCUGAGAUAGAGUCUUUACUGAAGAACGGCACCUACGACUUGGUGAAACUUCCUAAAGGCCGGAAAGCACUCAAGAACAAGUGGGUGUUCAAGCUGAAGUUAUAUGAGAAUGAGAAGCUGACGAAGUACAAGCUCGUUUAGUUGUCAAAGGAUUCAGCUAGAAAGAAGGAAUCGAUGUUGAUGAGAUUUUCUCACUUGUUGUCAAGAUGACUUCGAUUAGAGUCAUUUUGGGCAUGGCUGUGAUCAUGGAUCUUGAGGUGGAGCAAAUGGAUGUGAAGACUGCAUUUCUUCACGGUGAUUUAGAAGAAAAAAUACACAUGGAGCAACCAGAAGACUUUAAAGUCAACAGAAAGGAGCAUAUGGUUUGCAAGUUGAAGAAAAGCUUGUACGAUUGAACCAAGCACCAAGACAGUGGUACAAGAAGUUUGACUCCUUCAUGGGGAGUCAUGGGUACAAGAGAUCAUCAGCUGAUCCGUGUGUGUAUAUUCAACAACCCGCUAGAGGUAAUUUUAUCAUCUUACUACUCUAUGUAGAUGUGUUGGCUCAAAAAUCGUCUCGGCCACAUGUCAAUGGGCCGAGGGCUUCUUUGGGCUACACGUGUCAUGUGGCUUGGUGACGUGUGCAAUGGCAUGCCAACUCUCGGUCGAGAGUCCAAACGAGAUUUUGUUCUGAUCUGUAGAUGCGCUGUCCUGACUUCUAAUCAGUCGACUGUGGGCCGAGGAAGGAUCGAUCUCAGUCGCAGGGUUCUCUUUGCCUUGGAUGCAAGGACUUUAACACAGAUUGGCUUACUAGCCAAUCUUGGUGAUGUGUGACUAGGUGAAUGUUGUGAUGGUGCAAGUGAUGUGAAUGCAGGAAUGUAAAGUGUAGAAAUCUUAAAGAAAAGGUAAAGAACAUGAAUGCAAAUUGCAAGAAAAAUAGUAACGAACAGUAAGAUAAAUUACAAGUAUGAAAAGAACAAUAAAGUAAAUUGCAGCAAAAGAAGAACAAGUACCGGUAAAGUAAAGCGAUAAGAUAAACACGAAAAGGGUUGAUAAUUGUGCUGAGAAGCUGAAUUUUAUUGAGAUAGAAAAUUUGUAAAUCGCGUUGAGCGUUUGGUCGAGGACCUCUAACAAAGAAUCCUAAGGUCUUUUUUAUAGUGAAACAAAAUAAAGAAAUGUAAUCCCGGCUUUAAACAUAGGGAUUGAUUAUAGGUAAAUCAUAGAUUGAAAUUGUAGUACGUAACGUUGAUUCAAGCAAUAAAAUGCUUUCAAGCACAUUCAAUCUGAUUGAAACAUGUUCGGUAAUGGCUCCCCUGAAUGCGCUCUGGCACGGUAGUCAUUCAUUAAUGACCACGGUAAUUCUCAUAGUCGGCCGCGGUCAUUGCGCUCCUGGCACUUUAGUCAUUCAUUAAUGGUCGCGGUAAUUCGUAUAGUCGGUCAUGGUCAUUCGCCAAUAGCCACGAUCACUUGCCUUGUCGUGCAUGUUCUAUUGCAGAUCAAGGGAAUAGACCGCUAUAACCCCUCAUUAAUAGCCGUAAUCAUUCGUGGGCCUAACCCACUUGAUCUACCAUGUAAGCCUAGCCAAAUUUUGGUUCAAACAAAAUGAUAUGUUGAUCAACAAAGAUACUGUUAUGAUUCAGCAGUUAAAAACAGAUUUGUCAGAGUUCUUUGAUAUGAAGGAUUUGGGACUAGCCAAGCGGAUUUUUGGCAUGGAGAUUUCCAGUGAUCGAGGAAAUAAGAAAUUGUGGUUAUCACAAGAAAAAUACAUCGAGAAGGUACUGGAGAGGUUCCAGAUGGAGAAAGCAAAACCAGUUGUUACUCCUCUUGCCAGUCACAUGAAGCUCAGCUCAAAGCACAGUCCUACAAGUCAAAAGAAGGAGGAAGAAAUGGCAACAAUGCCAUAUGCCUCAACAGUAGGGAGUUUGAUGUACGCGAUGGUUUGUACUACACCAGACAUAACACAUGUAGUUGGUGUUGUUAAUAGAUUCUUAUCUAAUCCACGCAAGGAGCACUAGAAUGCUAUUAAGUGGAUUCUGAGAUACUUGCGGGGAACUUUAAAGAUGAGUCUAUGCUUUGGAAAUGUCAAAUCUGAAUUGGUUGGCUACACAGAUGUAGAUAUGGCCAGAGAUAUUGACAUGAGAAAGUCUAUAUCAGGGUACCUGAUUACAUUUUCAAGGGGAGCUGUCUCAUGGCAAUCAAAGCUACAAAAAUGUGUUGUUUUAUCAACUACAGAAGCAGAGUAUAUUGCAGCUACGGAAGCAUGCAAAGAAAUUUUGUGGUUGAAGAGAUUCCUACUGGAAUUAGGUCAUUCACAACAAGAGUUUGUCCUUCAUUGUGACAAUCAAAGCGUAAUUCACUUAAGCAAGAAUUUGAGUUUUCACUCGAGAUCGAAUCAUAUUGAUGUGAGGUAUCAUUGGAUACGUGAUGUGCUGUGUGAGACCCCGUAAAGUUAUAGCUAUAUGUAUUGCAGUCACGAAUGAUUUUAGUAAAUGAUUUAUAUAGUGGACGGACAUUACUUGGUUUAGUUGGGUUCGAGAAGUUUCAUUUUUGAAUCGGGCCUAUAGUGUAAGCUUGGAAUUACCCGAUUGGGUCACAUGUUUGGGCCUAAGGAGGGCAACAUUGUAAUUAUAUAUAUAUGAGCUACAAAUUGAUAAACUUUGUGUAGAAUGACCAGAAGCUUCUCCCGUUUUCUUUCCCUCUCCUACGAACACUCUCGAUAUUGAUCACUCUCUUUCUUUCUCUCUCUGUCUCUCUGUUCAAGUUCAAGAAGGCAAAGCUGCUAAAUAUUCAUGGUGGGAUGUUAAUCUUAAGUUCAAGGAUACAACAGAGAUGGAGUUUGGGUCGUUUGACUAUGUACCAUCGACACCGAUUCGAGUUGUAGAAAGCCACAGGCAUGAACGUUAUUCUUCUUCUCUUAGCAUAUUGAGGUAAAGUCCUAAGAACCCAUAGAUUUGGGAUUUCUGAUUUUGAUAGAUUGGGUUCUAAUUAUUCUGUUAAUUGGAAUGCCAGUGACAGAAUUUCGAGUGGAAUUUGAGUUCCAAGGAAAGAAGCAUGAAGUCCAUGGAGAGUUACUGAAUUUGAAAAGGGAGAAGUGAUCGAUGGAGCUGAAAUGAAAGAAUGGAAGAUUUCCAGUAUAAUUACAAAAGCAAGGAUGGAGAUAUGUAUUUCAGAAGAAGGUAAGAUCCUUUUUACGAAAGUGAAUGGCAUGUGUUCAGUAUUUGGAAUUUGGUAUUGAUGAUUUGUAUUUCUAUCAAUGAAAACAGAGCAUAUGGCGAUCAAUUGCUUUGGUCCAUCAACGCAUCAAAAAGGAAAAAGUUUCCAGUAAAUAAAGUACAAGGUGAGUAGGUGAUCACUUUGGACAAGUAUUGUUAGACUUGGUUGUGUUUGGCAUGGACAUACUUUAGUGAAAGUAUUAUAGAGCAACUGUAAAUAUGCGUUGAUCACUUGCUAUGUACGAUAUGGUUUUGAUCCUAUGGUAAUAUGCUGCAUUAUAUGUCCAGAAAUGACAAAGUUGGAAACUAGCUAUUUUGAAGAGUAUAAUUGAUAUAUUAUUGGUAUCUGGAAAUUUUUGUUGUUGGGUGUACGUAGUAAAUUCUAUCAUCUAGCUUAAAGGCAUAUCGGUUUGGUUUAAAUCACGAUAGGGAUAGAAAGCAUAAGCUGCUGGACAUGUUUUGAAAUAUUGAUAACUAUGUGUUUCUUGAAUGGAACACUUGUUAUAUAGUUCCAGCAUGUUCAUUGAAAUACUAUCUAUGGAAGUGGAGAAUCAGUUUACAUGACAACAAUUCAUGGCAAUAGGAAUGAUUAAAGCAUUUGAAUGAGAAAUCAAUUAGGGUCAGAUGCUCUUAUAUUGAUUAAAUUAUGAGCCAUUAUUAAUUGGCUAAAUAUACAUUGAGCUAAGCUCGGUCCUUAUAGCUAGUUAUAGUUGGCUAUCACCUUAUAUGAUAAUGGUGAAAUACAAAAGUGUUGCUGUGAUCUUGAUAAGUUUUUGAAAGAAUCCUAAUUGAGGAUUAAGGAACUAAUAUUUGGAUUUGUCGGACAGAGCUCCGGUUCUCGAGUUCUCGAGUAUGGUGGUGUUUGCCGAUGAUUGUGGAGCAAAGACUCGGACUCCAGGAAUGCCAGGUAGGGGAUUCUAGACUCUUCUUGGCUAGUGGUUUUUCGUAUAUUAUAUAUGAAAAAUGAUCGCAUGGCUGUGAUUGGUUUAUUAUAAAGAUUUGAUAUUUCUAUUGCCAUGCUUGUUUUCAAUGUUUUCAAUAUUGUGUGAUGACUUGAGAGUGAGCGGGGCAUAGUGACUUCCUUGGGUUUCGAUCCCCUAAACCUCCGGAGGGGCUGUACGGACUGGAGGACACCUGACAUCCUUUGAGGUGUGGCGUCGCUCCUAGGAGGUAUGGCGUAAAUGGACACUCUCGUUACACCUUGCCGGUAUGGACGAUAUUAAUUGUGGUAAGGUUGUAGUUGGCAUAAGAGGACCGGUCAUCAGGUUUGUGUAUUCUGGGCGCGCAGAUAUUUUUCUAAAUGAAACUUAUACUUUGAUCAUGAUUUAUAUUUAUAUUUGUUUUCACAUACUGGCUAAUAAAUUAAAUAGUUUUCAAACCUAGUUGGUUGAGUCUUAAUGAGCUGCGAGGACGAAAGCUCACCCCUACAACAGUUUUGGAUGCAGGUUCUGUGCACAAGAACGGGAUUGAACUGGAUUGAGCUGGGUGUGCAUAUUUGAUUAAAGUUAAAUGUUUUUUUCUAAAUUUGUUAUCAUAUGUAAGGCUUCCAUUUUAUAUCGUGAUUACUUGAUACAUUUCCUUGUGUUAUAUUUGAAAACCUUAUUUGAAGUUGUUAGUCUGUCAGCUACUUUAUUUUAUUUUCGUGACAUUGUUAUCCGUACUACCAAGGAAAUAUGUUUUAGUUAAUCUUGGCUAUGUUUAACUGGAGUAGUUAUUUCACAUUAGUUUUGCUUUAUAGCUUGAUUCAAAGGAAGUAAAUCUGUUUUAUUAUAAUGUUUCCGACUUUAACUUUGAUUUUCAAUUUAUAAAAGUUUUAGUUAGUUUAAUUAAAAUGCCUUGCGGGUUCUUAGGGCUUGAGUGAUGGGCCCUAGCUUAGGUUCUAAGAGAACGCGGCACUGUAAUGUGCUCGAUUUGAUGAGGUGCAAAUCGGGGCGUUACAUGCUGGAAGCUAAGGAAUUACUGCUAAAGAUGAUUCAUACAGACAAUAACAGUUCAGAUAUGAUGACGAAGUCUUUACCAAAAGAGAAGUUUGACUUCUGCAGAAGUGCGUCAAGAAUGACGCAUCCUUCCAAUUAAGUCGGGAGGGCGAGAUUGAUGGGUCAAAUUUCCCUCCUUAUUUGGAGGAGGAUGUCAUAUAGUUUACUACAUGUGAAAAACCUUUCGGUGAAGCCUCAAGACCCAUUCAAUUAACCAAGAGGAAAGAAUAGCAAAGUUGGUGGUGUGUAUAUGUUGAAAUGCAAGAGAGAGCCUAUAUGUAUAGGCUUGUGGGUGGCUGAAAUGUUUGACAAAAAGAAUAGAGAUGUAUUGAUGGUGCAUACAAAUAUUGAAGCUUCAAUUAAGGAAGAAGUUUGAAUUCUCUUCCUCGUGCAUGGACGUGAAAGAUUUGCAUGGGAAAUGCAUGAAGAAGUUUGCCUAUAUAAAGGCAUGAGCAAUGAUGCAAUCGAUAUACCAGUGAGUUCAUAUUGUGUUAUACAAGAGUGUGAGAUAGAGAGAAAACUCUAAGUCGAGAGUUUGUGUGUGUAGCAAAACAAAGUGAUAAGUGUGAGAGUGUAUCCCUUCAAGAGUGAGUCUUGAAGUAGUGUUUCUCUCGCUGUAACCUUUAUUCGUAUAGUGGAUGUUUUUUGUUGUUGUUGCCCCGUGGACAUAGACAUUUUGCCGAACCACGUUAAUUCUCGGUGUUCUUUUCAUUUUAUUUCCGCUACAUUUUACAUUUGUGGUUGUGAGUUUUUUAUUCCAUUCUACAGUUUAUUCUUCUGCAAUAACCCAACAUGGUAACCUUGGUCGUUUGAAAGGAUCAGGGACACCGAAACCUAGAGGAUCCCCGAUAAUUCCAGGAAAACCAGGUGCAAAUGGAAUUGGCUCCCUCAUUGGGAUGAAACCAGGCAUAUAUAUUAUGAUCUCUACACAUCACCAAUGCCUUCUUCUGUUGCUCCCUAUCCUCCCACUUCCCAGCAAACCGAAACUUCCAGUAACCUGUUCCUCUUGCUCCCGACACAAACUCCUCCGGAAACUUCUGCUUCCACAGCUUAUCAUUAUUGGCUAGAUUUUGUAGUUCCUUCCACAGUUCUUUGCUUCACCAUUCUUGUUUCUUAAUUUGCUUCGCUAGCUAAUGAGUGUAUACGUUGUUGGUUUGGUACCAUCAACCAUUAUGUUUGGUCGUCAAUUGGGGCGGGAGUGUCAUGGCCCCCAGCAGCAAUUUCAAAUUUCCCUUUCAAUUAUAGUUUAAUAGCAUAUAAUUAUGGGAAAAUUCUAGUAUACCACAUGGUAUAGCAUGCCUCACACAAUGUGUGGUUAUCAUUGAUUGAAGAAGCAACUAAAUGACCAUGUAAUGACCACUUACCCCUUCAAAAGCUCCCAUGUGUCAUACAAUUAGACAUAUUUGCAAUAGGCAUGUCAUACCAUAUGGUAUGAUAGACAAACCCAUAAUUAUGUAUUCAGUUUAAGAAUUUGGUAUAUAUUUGCCCCUUCAAAAAUUUUGGCUCCUCCAGAAUUUUGUUCGAAGUUCCGCCACUGUCGUUGAUGUUAGGUUCCAAGCCUUAAUACCAACAACUGAACCCUAAAGACAAGUACCAUCUAUUGCAAAACCACCAUAAGUUAGCAAAAUGAAAACACACAUCAAAUUACAGAAACACAUUUUCUUUGUAAAAGACUUUUUAACAAUGAGACAACUCCUCAAUCAACAUCAGCUAGCGAUGAACCAGAGAUCGAUGCAAUGAACUCCUCAAUGUUCUUGUUAGAGCUUCCAUCUUCAUCCACAGCCUUUCUAGCCGAUUCUUUCAAUGCUAUAGCAUUUCUCUGUAUUUCUUUUCCCCUCUGUCCCUCCAAUAUUUCACUUACACAAUGCUCUACUUCUUCUUGCCUCACAAUCCCUUUCUCAUCAACUUGAGCUUUGAUCCCAAUUUUCCACACAUCCAUAAUGUACUUGGCAUUGGUGCUCUGGUCAGUCCAUCGAGGCAUUGCAACCAUUGGCACCCCCAAACUCAAAGCCUCCAAUGUGGAGUUCCAACCGCAAUGUGUAAUGAAGCUACCAACUGCUUCAUGAGCUAAAACCUCCAAUUGUGGACACCAGGAAACCACCAAACCCGUUGCAGAUGUCUCCUCGACAAACCCUUUCAGCACCUUCCUUGCUUCUGAUUCUCUAAUCACCCACAAGAAUUUUCUUUUGCUACUCCUCAAUCCGAAAGCCAGUUCCUCCAUUUGCUCAGCUUCAAUUUCUGCUCGGCUUCCAAACGACACAUAAACAAUAGACCCCUUGGUUUGUUCAUUGAGCCAUUUCAUGCAGGCAUCACUCUUUGGUUUAAACAUGUUGAAACCAUAGUCUUUAUCAUCUUUAAGACACCUAUCCAAGUAAUGGGAUGGUAUAGGUGGUCCAAUGGUCUUCAUUGGCCAAACCUUUCCCAUCCAAUCCACCGCCUAUAUAUGAAGAGCAAUAUUGAUCGAUUAAGACUACUUAGUUCAUGAUAAAAAUUAAUCAGUCUAGUAAUGUACGUGGUAUACACAAUGUCUACAAAGAUGCCAUAUGAAUGCUACAGAAUGUCUACAAAGAUGCAUAUGGUAUAGGCAACAUUGAUCAUUAGCUUAUGAAACUCCAAAUCAUAUGAAAGCCAAAAAGUGACUAAAAUAAGGGAAAUAAUUCCUAUAUACUUACUUGCUCUUCCAACUCAUAAAAUGUAUUGCAGAGGACCCAAUCAGCCUUGUCAACAUUGUAGAACUGAUCCACAACAACCAGUUUAUAGGCGGCCGGGUAAGACCCGAAAUCAGAUAGAAAGGAUGGCAGGUCUGAGGGCUUAAGUGUCAGCAACCCUGAAGCGAUAUUUCAGACUCAACAACAGGCAGUUUCAGCGAUCCAUUCUUCACAUGGUAGUAGAUGGUGUUUACAGCACAAGACUGUGUGAAGAAGAUAGCCCCAAGAAUACCAAAUUUCUUGGCAAUAUCCAGAGGCCAAGACAAGAAUGCAUCAUAAACAAUACAAUCAACUGGUAACCCUAAGCUUGAAAGCUUCUCAAGAAGCUCAGCCAAAGUUUGUGACCCUGAUAUCCUCAAGCUUUCUAAAUAGACAUCUAUGCUUCCUGCUUCUGCUCUCCCACCUUGAUCAAAACCAUCAGAGAUCGUCUCCAGUGGAAUAUUACUGGACCCUGACCUGUGCAUUGUCUUCCAUAAAAAGCGAGUGGUAACCAGCGUCACUUUGACUCCUUUAUGCUCUAAAAGCUUAGAGAAUUGGAGCAUGGGAUUGAUAUGGCCUUGGUCAGGAUAGGGUAAGACCAAGCAGUGAGCUCUGUAGGCUCUUUGUUGACCCUUCUCCAUUUCUCUAUCUAUGUCUUGCAUAGGAAAGCCACAACAAUGGCAGUUUAUGUACUGAUGAAGAAUGAAUAUGAUGAAUACACAAUUUAUGAACCAAGUGAUGAAACUCAGUACGUCUCUUAGUCCUUUGGACAUGAAUUUCCAAAGAUGAAUGUUUUUAUAUUUAGGGAAGGUGGAAUAUGAGGGUAAUCUAAAAGAACACUAGUGUAGAACCCAAAUGCAAGUGUUCAACCACAAGAGUUGGAAAUCCAUAAUAAAAAAAGGAAAACUGCUGCAGGAAAAGUAUGGUAUAAUCCAGAGGGACCCUGAGGUUUUGUUUACUGCAUAAAAUUAACAUAGAAUAUAUGAAAAUUGAACGGGCCAUUUUAGUUCGUAAUUCAAAAAUAUUAGUCAAUUUUCAAUAACAACAGUAUGUCUUGGACAUACAUAAUCAAUUUUUGUUUCAAUUCUGAAGCCUAGGCCCAUGACAAUAAAAAUAUCAGUUAUCAAUAAUCAACUAUUAAACUUAUAUAAAGGAGUCACUGAUGUAUAGUAAACUAGUGCAACUAAUUAAGGCAAAAUAAUACUAGGGGUAUACCAGCAUUAGGAAUUCAGGCAGGCAUCAUUUUCAUAAGAAACUGGUUCUUUCCCAAGUCAUGUUACAAAGCAAGCAAGUGCAGAUGCCCCAUCAAUAUUACUAGUGUGUAAUGAAGCACCCAACAGCCUCAUGAACCAAAACCUCUAGUUGGGAGAACCAUGAAAGUUGAAUCAAGAUGAACUGCACAAUCAGGAUUCAGGAACCAAGAUGAAGUGCACUGUCAUCCGACGAAAGCGUAAUGGUCAAAAUGCUAUAAUAAUGUGAAGUUGCAAGCCAAGUCUCUAUACAUCUCUUUGUUGCAUUAUGACUAAAAACAAUGUUUGGGACAACUACUAACCGACUCUUGGUGGUGCUUAAACAUAGAAUAUCACUCUAAGUGUUGAAUAUGAAUCAAAAGAAAUAAGUGAAUGUUCUCAAUGAUUAACCACAGUACCAGUACCCCAAUUAAUUUUUGGGUCUCACUUCUCCUCUUUCAUCGUUAAACAUUAAAAUCUGAAACAGAAUUAAGUAAACUACUUUGCAUCAAGAAAAGAAUCAAUCUUCAAAAGCAAAGAAAAUAAAAGGUUAAAUUAUGGGAGGGAAAAGCCAACACCACAAGAUUGAUCUCUUAAUUGUAAGUAGUGGCAUCAGAACGAGUUGCGUAAAUUUGCAUUAUUUUGUUUUUCAUCACAAGAACAAUUCUUAUUCUCAAAAUAGACAAUUCAAGGAUUCAAAGGACUUGUAACAGAACUACAUAGGAAAGGCCCUAACUGAAGCCAAACUAAUGGAAUCAUCAGUGUAAAGGCGUGCAAUAGUACAAUAGAGAGAGAGGUACCAAAGAAGUUGCAGAGUUUCAGUGAACUUGACACUUGAGCAACUAUUAAUGCUUAACCAACGUCUCAAUGAACUCAUCAAUGUUUCUGUUGGAACUUCCACCGUCAACCACUGCCUUUCG